rnacentral:lncRNA from 1 species
CCUCCACCGGUGCUUAUGUCGAUGUUGUAUGGCAAGGAUGAGACAAGCAAAAAUUUCCGUGCUUUAAUUAGAGCAUACAAUAUGAUGUUCUCAUUCACGUCUCUUGGUGGUCAAAUUGAUAAUUCCGUGAACCAUGGGAAUGCACCGUAUGUGUUUCGCAUGCAGGGUCAAAAUUAUCAUCGCAUCGGUGAACUUUUGCCUGGCCCUUCCAGAAGUCCUGCUUUCUCGCAGCUCUAUAUUCAUGAUACCGUAAACGAAGUCUCGAAUAGGAUGGGUGUUAUGGGGUGAGUUGUUUAUUGUAAUAUAUUUUUUAUAUUAUGUCCACGAAUUAAUUUCCGUUUUUUGUUGUUUUUAAUUGUUUUAGCGAGAAAGGACCGGGUAAGCAAAUAAAGAAGAGUAUCGUUAAGACUUUGAAGGAUAUGUUAGAUGCUAACAACCCACACGUCAUCGCGUUUAGAUCAGCUAGAGAUAGAUUAGCACAGUGUGAAGAUACCAGCGGCUUUAAGUUGAUUUUGAAAAAUCAUCGAGAUAGUGACGGUAGAGUCCAAAAUAUACCUACGACUGACGAGGUUGCUGGGCUUAUCGUGGGAGAUAUAAACCCUAAACCGCGUGAUGUAGUGCUUCAGGCUAAUUCUGGAGGGUUUCAGCGUAUAAGUGAGCUGCACCCAUCCUACCUCCCUCUACAGUAUCCUUUGCUUUUUCCUUACGGCGAGGAUGGAUUUAGGUUAGGUAUCGACAUUGGAUUCAUCGAUAAAGGCGGUCUAAAAAGAACAAAGGUGACGAUGAGAGAAUUCAAUCGAGACGAGGUGAAUCUCCUACUAUUGUUAUGUCCAGGAGAUUAUAUCAGGAGAUUAUAUCAGCAGUUCCUGGUUGAUGCGUAUACGAUGAUCGAAAGCAACAGGCUUCGUUAUUUGUUUUUUAACCAGAAAAAUCUCCGCUGUGAAAACUAUUCGCAGAUUCUUAAAGUUUCUAAGAAAGGAAAUAAAAAUCUUUCCAUAGAAGGUAAUAAAAUUAUGAUACCAUCUUCUUUCACCGGAGGGCCUAGGUACAAGACGCAGCAUUAUCUUGAUGCGAUGGCUACUUGCAAGUAUUAUGGCUUUCCUGAUCUAUUUAUCACUAUAACUUGUAAUCCUGCGUGGCCCGAGAUUACUAGGUAUCUGGAAAAAUACAACUUAAAACCCGAGGAUAGGCCCGACAUCUGUUGUAGGCUUUUUAAGCUGAAACUCGAUAAUCUCAUUCAUGAUCUUACCCAUAAUAAGAAGCUGGGAACUGUCUCUUCUGGUAAGAUUGACCAAACUUUUAUAGCGAUAUUUGUGUCUCGCAUAAAUUAUGUGUUAUUAUUAUAUAUAUAGAAUUUUAGAAUCUUAAAUUUUUAACCUCUUAUUCUGUAAUUUCUUGUAUAUUUUACAGUUUUAUACACGAUUGAGUUCCAGAAAAGGGGUCUACCACACGCACAUAUGGUCCUGUUCCUAGCUCCAGGAUCAAAACUUCCAACUACUGAUGAUAUUGAUAAACAUAUUAGUGCAGAAAUUCCUGAUCCAGAGUUAGAGCCGUUUUUGUAUGAAGUUGUAGCAGAUAUGAUGGUGCAUGGUCCGUGCGGAGUUGUUAAUCCCAGCUGUCCGUGUAUGCAAAAAGGCAGAUGCACCAAAUACUACCCUAGGCCUUACAGUGAUCAGACUAAGGUUGAUGACGAGGGGUAUCCUAUUUAUAGACGGCGAGCGGAUGGCAAAUUCAUCGUGAAGCAAAAAUUUAAUGUCGAUAAUAGGUACAUCGUUCCAUAUAACGCUUAUUUAUCGAAAAGGUAUCGUGCUCAUAUUAAUGUCGAGUGGUGCAAUCAAUUACGAUCUAUCAAAUAUCUCUUCAAGUAUAUCCACAAAGGACCCGAUUAUAUCAGAGCAAAAAUACAAAAGGACGGUCAAGAAGAGGAAGUCCAUGACGAAAUAAAACAGUAUUAUACAUGCAGGUGCCAAAUGAGACUAAUUGUUUAUAAAAUGUUAUGUUAUCGUCUUAGACUAAAUACUGUUGUUGGGAGUUUUGAAAUUAUUGCCUCAUUCUCAUUAUUUUUUAUGUCGUUUCGUUUAUAGGUAUAUAUCUGCAUGCGAGGCCACUUGGAGAAUAUUAGCUUUUGCUACACAUUACCGGUCUACACCAGUAGAAAAACUUACAUUUCAUCUUCUUGGUGAAGAGGUUAUUGUUUUCGAUCCGAAUGAUCCUGUUGAUGAGGUUAUAAGUCGUAAAUCUAUCGGCCGUACAAUGUUCUUGGCUUGGAUGGAAUGUAACAAAGCGUAUCCAGAAGCCAGAGAAUUGACAUAUGCGGAUUUUCCAUCUAAGUUUGUUUGGAAAAGCAGAGAGCGUGUCUGGAAACCCCGAGUAAAAGGAUUCUCGAUAGGAAGGAUUAUGUAUGUUUCUCCUUCCCUUGGAGCCAAGUAUUAUCUAAGGCUCCUGUUAAAUUCUGUGACAGGUCCUACAUCUUACGAUGACAUCAAAACGGUAAAUGGCAUUAUAUAUCCUGAGUUUGUUGAUGCUUGCAAUGCACUGGGGUUGCUCGCAGACGACCGAAUAUUUAUAGAUGCGAUAAAAGAAGCGAGUUAUUUCGUGAAAGGUUUACCCUUGCGAAAAUUAUUUGUGAUGAUGAUCGUCGCCGGAGAUAUAGUAAAUCCUUUGCGAGUUUGGGAGGAGACUUGUGAUCUACUGUCGGAAGGUAUCUUAUUCGAACGUAGAAAAGUGUCGAGGAAUCCGGGUAGGUGGAUCAUCUCUAUUGUUUAUGAAAUAUAUAUAGCUGUCUUAUUAAUUGAAUAGUAAUAAUAGCAUGUUUCGUGUGGUUUGCAGCUUUGACGCUUUCUGAUAAACAAAUAAAAAAUUUCACGUUGGCGUCUAUUGAACUCUUGCUGCGGGAUAACGGGAAGACUCUGUCUACUAUCGAAGGAUUUCCGCAGCCGGAUGAUAUAUCUCUUGAUACGAGUACAAAUCGGCUGUUGUUGGAUGAGCUUGGUUAUAACCACGAAAAAGAAGCGAAAGAACACGUGAGACUCCUAGCCACGAUAACGGAUGAACAAAAAAUAGUUUACGAUGAAGUGAUGCAGGCAGUUUUAGAUAAAAAAGGCGGUGUCUUUUUUCUAUAUGGAUACGGGGGCACAGGCAAAACGUACGUCUGGAGUAUUUUAUCGGCUGCUUUAAGGUCUAUGGGACUUAUUGUUCUUAAUGUAGCAUCGAGCGGGAUAGCCUCUUUGCUGAUGCCUGGAGGUAGAACUGCACAUUCAAGAUUUUCGAUACCUCUAACGGCUGAUGAAUUUAGUAUGUGUGCGAUGAAACCAUCAUCCCAUCUCGGUGAGUUGGUAAAACAGGCUAGCUUAAUUGUAUGGGAUGAGGCUCCUAUGAUGAGCAGACAUUGUUUUGAGACGUUGGAUCGUAGUAUUCGGGAUGUUAUGAGAUGUAUACUGAUCGGCCGUUCGGCGGUAAACAAUUGUCUUUGANNNNNNNNNNNNNNNNNNNNNNNNNNNNNNNNNNNNNNNNNNNNNNNNNNNNNNNNNNNNNNNNNNNNNNNNNNNNNNNNNNNNNNNNNNNNNNNNNNNNNNNNNNNNNNNNNNNNNNNNNNNNNNNNNNNNNNNNNNNNNNNNNNNNNNNNNNNNNNNNNNNNNNNNNNNNNNNNNNNNNNNNNNNNNNNNNNNNNNNNNNNNNNNNNNNNNNNNNNNNNNNNNNNNNNNNNNNNNNNNNNNNNNNNNNNNNNNNNNNNNNNNNNNNNNNNNNNNNNNNNNNNNNNNNNNNNNNNNNNNNNNNNNNNNNNNNNNNNNNNNNNNNNNNNNNNNNNNNNNNNNNNNNNNNNNNNNNNNNNNNNNNNNNNNNNNNNNNNNNNNNNNUUACAGACGAUGGCGAUGCUGAUGUGGAGAUUCCUGAUGAUUUGCUGAUUUCUAAAUGUGGUGAUCCUAUCAAAGCCAUCGUACAUAAUGUUUAUGGGUCAACGUUGGUCAAGGAUAAGGAACUUUCUUUUUUCCAAGAAAGGGCUAUUCUUACUCCGAGAAAUAAUGACGUGUGCGUGAUCAACGACUAUGCGCUAUCACACAUGGAAGGUAGAAAAUUAAUGUUAAAACUUUUAUAUAUUGAUUUAGAGUAUGUUUACUAUUGUUUAUUAUUUUAGUUUGAUAGUGGAUUUAAUGUUGUUUAUUAUUUUAAUUUUCAUUCAUGUUGACGCCCCGGGGUUGUUAGGUGAAGAGAGAGUCUAUCUUAGUUGCGAUAGUAUUGAAUUAUCGGAUGCGGACAAAAGAGAUAAUAUGGUUUAUACACCCGAGUUUUUAAACAGCAUCAAAGUCUCGGGGUUGCCAAAUCACAGGCUGGUAUUGAAAGUCGGAGUUCCAAUCAUGGUUCUACGGAAUAUUGAUCCUAAGAAUGGACUUUGUAAUGGUACAAGAUUACAAGUGACUCAGUUAGCGAAUCAGGUUAUAGAAGCUAGAAUUAUUACUGGUACGAGAGUUGGAGACAUAGUUGUGAUUCCUAAAAUGUACUUGAGUCCCACCGAGACGAGGUUCCCAUUUAGAAUGAAACGUUGUCAGUUCCCGAUUGCGGUUGCUUUCGCAAUGACGAUUAAUAAAAGUCAAGGUCAGACUUUGACUAAUGUAGGUUUGUAUCUACCUAAGCCUGUCUUUUCGCACGGGCAAUUGUACGUUGCACUUUCGAGAGUCACAUCCAGGAGAGGCCUCAAGAUACUGAUAACAGAUGAUAGGGGACAGCCUCAAAAGACUACUAAAAAUGUUGUUUAUCACGAAGUAUUCCAGAACAUUCGUUAGUUUGAUUCUAGGAUUUUUCUCUCCUUUUACUACCUGUUUUGGGCUUUCAGCUUACGAUAAUUUUUUUGUUUUAAUUAUAUUUUUUAUAAUACAUUUUGGGUUUUAAAUAAAAGGAAAUUCCAUCGGAUAUUGCCAUCUUUAAAUAAAAAUGCUAAGAAAAUAAAAUGGAAAAUGUCACGCAAAAUGUUAUUAAACAAAAAAAGGGUUGCGACGGUACGUGUCUUGACAAAGGAAGGAAAAUCGAACAUAAAAACAAAAGGGCUGCGACGUUUCAUUGUCUAGGUUAGUUCCCUAUAUAUACUUAGUUGUUAAGCGUUCUUGUGGGCAGACCAUUAUCUUACGCCGCAUAACGAAUUUUCGCAUAGGAGCAGAUAUGUCUUCUCGGUUCACAUCGUCUUCUAUUGAACGUUACAACGAUUUCUCUCGGUUGAACCCUGCAAUUGUUGGAUGGCAUGUUCACGUUAAGGUUUUGCGUCGCUUCCACACCGAUGACUAUAUAUCGAAGGGUGGGCUAGGGUUACUUCUGGUUGAUGAUAAGGUAUUGGUUCGAAAUAAGAUUUGGCUUUUCUUUAGAUAUGUAUUAGCCUUUGUUGUUAUGGAUGUUUGCGGUUUCCCGACUUUUGUGAUUUUGGUUUUGUGAUGCAGGGUAAUCAGAUCGAAGCGCUUAUUUGUUCGCCGUUGACUUUUCAUUAUUCAACGUUUAUUGAAGAAGAUGAAUUCUACGCUAUUAUGAAUUUCAGAGUUGUGGAGAAUUCGGGAUUCACUAAACUAACAAGGAGUGACUUUAAGAUAAUGUUUUAUGAUGGUACUAUCGUUAAAGAAGCGUCUUCNNNNNNNNNNNNNNNNNNNNNNNNNNNNNNNNNNNNNNNNNNNNNNNNNNNNNNNNNNNNNNNNNNNNNNNNNNNNNNNNNNNNNNNNNNNNNNNNNNNNAGCUGCUGCGCAUUUACCGUGGGCAGCCCCUCACUGAGAAUACGAAGAGGAAGAGACGUAUGGGGAAUUUGGUUAUGAUGGGGAUGAUAGCAUAUAUCGCACAGUUUCUUUCUAUCUACAUGACAGACGGUACAUUCAUUAUGUUUAUAAUAGUUAGAGGAUAAAUACUAAUUAAUAUCCUUACACAUGUACUUUUUUACGUGUGAAGGAAUGCUAUGUUGAGAUGUCGCCUGUUUGGUAAAGUCGCUUUGACUUUCUACGACACAUUUAAAGAGCAAGCUGAUGGUGCUGUUAUUUGUGUUAUAAGAUGGGGACUUAUUCGUUGUUAUGGAGGUUUGUUUUGCCUGCUUAGUAUAUAAGAUGGUCGGGUUUGUUAUAGAUGUAUGCAUGUUAAAUAGUUAGUUUGAUCGAGUGCAGGUGAUGUGGCCAUACAUGCUACAGAUUGCACGCGUAUUGAGAUUAAUCCAGAUAUCCGUGGAGUGGAAUGCUUUGAUGAAUUGUAAGUUUAGUUUUCCGUAUAAUUAGAUUUAUGAUGUUUGGUGUCUGGACUAUAAUAUUGUUAAUUCCUACGCUUCGGUGUUAUUGUGAAGGGUCAAGAAAAACAUGUAGUUGGGUAUCUUGAAGAAGAAGGAAGGAUUUAUAGUCUCCGGUGGUGGAUGUUAAAGUUAUUAUGUUUCAAUUUCCGUUACGUUUUAACAGAGUUGUUUCAGCGAUACCUCUAUUAUGCGGAUCACUAUUAUCCCUUAGUUUUGUUUAUUUUUUAUUCUAUAGUUACGUUCUUAUUAUGGAUCAUAUAUUUACGGUGAUACGUUCGUCAGCGAGAACAUUUAAAUUUACAUCGAAUUUGUUAUUGCGUUGGGGCUUAAAAUAAUAUUUUAUAUAUAUGUUAAAUUGACCAUUUCGUUGAGGCUGCGAACAAUAUUGAAGGAUUCUUUUCUUUAGUCAUAGGCUUCAAAGUGUAUGCGUUAUAUAAAACUGGAAAGUGAAGGAGGACUUACACCUUCGUUAGUUUAAAUUAAUAACAUAAUACAUAAAUAUUUUUGUAAUUGGAUUCCAUUGAAAGUUUACUCUUAUCGACUUUGUUUACAGAAAAUAAAAAUAUAGAUUUGUCACAAAAAUGUAAACAUGCUUAAUCUAUGAUUUAGCGAGACGAUAAAAGUAAAUAUUGCGGUUUUUAUCUACGUAUUCGAUUCGAAAAUAUCUAUAAUAACUAUUUGGUAAAGCUAUAAUAUUUCCAGAAAAUUUUAUAUGCUAAUAUCGAAGAUUUACAUUUAUCUCUUAAUUCGAUUUUGUUAAUAUCCAUAAUUAUUAAAUUUUAUUCUAUAUUAGUCGAAAAGGUCGGUUAAAUCCUAAACAUUUUAUGGCUAUAUAUAGGAUCUACUACUCGCUUUCAACUUUAACGAAAUCUAUUAAGAUAUUAUACUUUUGUGCGUUAAAAAAUGUCGUCAAGCAGAAAAAGCAAAAAUUCACUAACUUUCAUCGAUGAUAUCAAUCCUAUUCACGAUCAGAAUAAGAUUAAGGUGUUAAUCCUGAGGCUGUGGAAGGCGUAUCAGAGAGAUGCGGGCAAUACAAUCGAGAUGGUUUUGGUGGAUGAAAAGGUUAUGAUUUGAUUAUUAUUUGAGAUUAUGUCUUCUAUAUCAUGUGUUUGCUUUGUUUUUGUAUUGUAUAAGUAUGCUAAGCAUAUUCUCUUUUUGGUUUUAAGUAGGGUUCAAGAAUCCAUGCAACUGUUGAAGACAAAAAUAUCAAAAAGUUCGACAGUGUCCUGAAAGAAGGUGAUGUCGUUACCUUAAAUCCUUUCAAGCUCAUCAAGUACUCUGGCGAUUAUAAGAGCAACAGUCUUUCUUUCAAGAUUUUGUUUUACCGAACAACCCAGGUCAAACCAUGUGAUGAUUUUCCAAAGGAAGUCCCUGAGAAGUAUUUUGUGGAAUUUGGUGAUGUUUUAAAUGGUUCACGAGACACGCGUGUUUUCGUUGGUAGGUCUGGUUUAAACAAAAUAUCUUAAUUAGUUUGAUAUUUGUUUAUCUUUACCGCUGUUAAACUAAAUAACGAUACGUAUUGUUGUAGAUGUUAUUGGUCAGAUUGUCAACGUUGGACCGAUAGAGGAUAUAAAAAUCAGAGGAAAGAGUACUCCAAAGCUCGACGUCGAGUUGCGUGAUCGUGGGUAUGUUAAUUAUGAUUAGUCAUUAUAAGAGUUUGGUUUUCUGUAUGCUUUGUUUUUUUGACGUGUUUAUCACGUAAAUAGGAACGUACGGUUGAUAUGUACUCUAUGGGCGGAUUUUGCUAAGCAAGUUAAGGUUUAUACUGAAGCAAAUCCAGCGGCUGUUGUUUGUGUGAUUAGGUGUGCUCAGGUUAAGGAGUGGAAAGGUAUAUAUGUUGGUCGAAUAAACUUCAAAUAUUCCGAUGACUGUUCUAAUUUUAAUUGUUAACUUAUUUAGGUAAUUGGACUAUAUCUAAUGCUAUGGGCGCAACACGUGUAUUACUCGAUCCUCCAGGCGUUUUUGUUGAUGAGUUCAGAUCAGGGUAAUAGACAUAAUAUUGUUUAUUUAUUAUGUUUUGUGUUAUUGUAUAUGUCUGUAUAGAUAUUAAUAUAGAAUUUUUUUUGUAGGCUACCAACCGAUGGCGUGGUCUUGACUAAUCAUGAUAAUAGUGAAUUGUUUGCUGGAUCAACUGUAUCGAUACGUGAUCAAUUCUUGGUGAAGAAUCAUAAACGAACUGUCCGAGAUAUAGUCGAGGCGUUAGAGGUAGACACCAUAAAUUUAUGCGUUGUUCUUUAUAUUCAUGCGUUUUAAAGGGUAAAAAAAAAAUUUGUUUGUUAAUUAGAACUGGUUGGUAUUUUAAGUCUGACCUCUAAAAUCUAUAGGAGGGUAUGUGUGUGACCAUGGUCACUGUUGGAUCCGUCGAGCGAACGUCGAAAUGGUAUUACGUUUCGUGUAAGAUGUGUAAUAAGAGUGUCGAGCCUUAUCCAGAAAAUUCUGGUGAUGAUGGAAAACCACCUCUUUACUAUUGCGGCGUUUGUGACAAGGAUGUAUCUGCGGUAGUGUUCAGGUGAUUGUGUCUUUUGAAUGCAUUGUUUAUGUCGUCUUGUGCAUGUUAAUACCGUCAUACUAUGUUGGUGUGUGUAGUUUUAGAGCUCGGUUGUUCAUUAUUUGUCCUGGAAUAACUGUUUGUUUUAGGUACCGAUUGGUUCUGGAGGUUUUUGAUGCAACUAACUACAAGGCAAGGUUUUUGUUGUUUGAUGCAAUGGGUAGUACCCUCCUUCGUAGAACUGCACAGGAGCUCUAUAAUGCAGUUUCUGAGGUAAUGGAUUCGCUUUUGCUAUUGUUUGUUAUGUUGUUUAUUCUAUUUUUAACGAUUAUUUGUUCGUAUGUUUAAUCUAUUUGCAUGGUUUAAUGAUAGAAUGACCCCUCUAUACUUCCCUCGGAGAUUGGGGCAUUGGUCGGGAGGCGGUUUCUUUUUAAAGUGAGUAUAGGUGGCGAUAAUCUGAAAUCGGAUCGGUCGCAUUACGUGGUACAGUUAUUUUCUGAAGAUGAUGAGCUGAUUAAAGACUAUUCUGAUGGUCUAUACUCCGAGGUUCGUGUUUUGUAGCUUGGGUUGUUCUGUUUAUAUGAAACUGUAUAUAUGUGUUAAGUUUACUAAAUAUUCGGUGUUUUGCUUUAUAUAUACUUAAUAUUGGUGUUUCUAAGGUUUUGGUGCCUUUGCCCGUAACGCCUAUUACAAAGGAGGCCAGUGUUCGCCGUGGCGGUGUAUCCGUCGAGAAUCCAAAACCUCCUGCGAAGAAAAUCAAAAUCGAGGGCAAGAAAGAAGAGAGUUUUGCCACAACUUAAAGAAGAAUUUGGUUUUAUAUAUAUCUAGAUUUAGCGGUUUUAUUUAUAUUUAAAUAUCAUAGCAGACUUUACAAUACAUUGUGCGACUUUAUGUUCGAUUUUUGUUGUGACUGAGUCUGGAUGUUAUUUGGUGUUUUCGUUAUUUGUUUUUUUUGUUUUUUUAUACCUUCCCGAGUGUCAUAUUUAGAUAUUGUUCGUUUUUUGUUUUCUAUGAUCGGUCUGAUGUUGUUUGGCAAACGACAAACGCGACGUUUCUGCUUAUACACGUGCAAGUGUUUUCGCUAGGGCUGAAUAUAUUCUAUACGCAACUAAUACAUGCAUUUUUUGUUAUACUAAUGAUAUGUGUUAGGUGUUAUUGUUUGACGCCAAUGUAUUCACUUAGAAAUAUUGUUAUAGAUUAAGAGUCGCAUGUAGGUAACAUGUGUUUAGCAAGACGUGGAUAUUAUUAUAUAUGUAUUAUUAUAAAAUAUUGGAUUUCGUUUUAUGUCGUAUAUAACAGUUUCACGUUAUUUGUGAUAUAUUUGGUAUCUGAUUUAGCAUGCUGAUUUAUAAUUAGUUAGGGUUAUGUGAGCAUUCACGAGCUCUAUAUAUUUGCACGUUUCAUAUUAUGCUUAUAUGGUCUACUAACGUAGGUUGAUAUCCCGGCCGUUUCUCUGAGCAACGCAUAAAUUGGUAGUUCUGUUGUAUUGAGAUAUGUAACAUUAACAAUUCUAAAAUAUUAAAUAUUCGACGGAAUUAGAAUGUUUCUUUUUAAGUUUACUGUUUGUGUAACAAUAUGUUAGAGUUAACAUUUUAGGUAUUGAUAGAUUUGAUCAUAUCUCCUAUUAAUAUAGUGGUAUGUUUGUUAUUAUCCAUAAUAGAAAAUAUUAUUUUCCUUGGUUUUAAGUCGCUCAAUAUUUUACGUAAAAAUAAAGGUCUUAUUGGGUACCCUAAUACCUAGCUUAUAUAUACGUCUAUAAAUAAUACAUGCAUUCUUGUGUUAAUCAUUGCGAACGCUCGUGUUGAAAAGAUGGAGGUAGUCGUUAGUAUUUUUACUUGAUGUUAGUCUGAUAUAGUUUAUUGGUUCUGCGUUAAAUUGGCUUUCUCUUUCCGAAAAUAACAAUCAUGUUGAUUGAUUAUUAAUAUGUGAAUGUUUUGAUCGGACAGGUUAACAAGCAAAACACUAACUCAACCCAUAUUAGCCAGACGGAUGAAUGUAUCGUAGCUAUCCAACAAGCGGCUUCGUGGGUGUUGUCGGUCGAUAGAUUGCGUGGUUUAUUUGUUAUGCUGAUGGAUGUUUUCUGCGAGGCAGAUCCGUUGUCGGUCUGGGAUGCUACCUGGGAUGUAUUGUUUAAAGAUGUGUUGUUUCCACAACAAAUUAUUUUUAACGAUCAUGGUAAAUGUACACCGUUAGUUUUUGCCAAUAUUUACAAAUAUCGUCAGAUGGAUAAUGUUUUAUUAUUUUGUUCUAGAGCCGGAGUAUGCCUACAAUGAAAUCCAAAACUUUGAGACAUUUAUGCGUAAGGAAAACUCUACGUUCAAUGUCUAUGCGGAAUUACGGAAGAGAGUCGCUUUAGCUGGUGGUCCUACAUGUGAUCCUUCGUUGGAAUAUAAGAUGCGUGAUCAGUUUAACAAUCUUAAGAUAGAUUAGAUUGUUUUCAUCGUUUUGAUUUAUUUCUGUUUAUUUUAGGGUUUUAUAAACUAUGUUUCUGCUUGGUUCUCUCUAUACUAUUAUAUUUGUUUCGGCAAAAUAAUAGAAUAUUUUUUUAUAGACGGUGUUUUGAACUAUUACGCUGCAAUGAAGAUUUUAUUUUAUUAUUCCUGUAUUGCGUUCUCUUAACAUUUUUUUUUUUAUUGACGGUGUGUCUUUAUAAUUACGCAAUGAGUUUUAAGCACCAUAAAACGCGAUAGUUAAAACACAUGGUUUCUUCUUCGUUGACCGUCAAACAACUUAUGCUAGAUGAAACAACGUCCUAUAAUGUGAGAUGCAUGAUAGCUGCUGUAUGUUGAGUAGCUUCUUUAAUUUGCUAUAUGGUUUCUUAUGAUUUUAUACAGAUCUCACGGUUAUGUUAUCUAUUCAUUUUAUCGCCAAGUGAUAUUUCAUUUUAUCUCCAAGUGAUAUUUUAUGACCAUAAUUAUGAGGUUUAACAAGCCAUGGAAAAUUAACUUUCUGUCAUUAUAACUUGUAUUUAUGAGUUGAGAUUAAUUUAAAAAGUAAAAUUCGUUGUGCUCGAAUCACAUAUAUGAUUAAUACUAUAUAACAUAUCAUUAAAAUAUAAUAUUUCCAGUUUUCAGUUUACCUUUUAUAUUUAUUUCCGUGAGAUUUUCAUCUUCUCUCAAAGUUAUGUAUGGGUAUUACCAAAUGCGUUUGCUGUUAAAGUAAAUAUUUUAUAAAAUUCCUUCUUUUUUUUGGAUACAAUCAGAAUAAAAAGUAAAAUUUGAAUAUAUCUAGAAAAUAUAUUGAUUAGUAAUAUAUAUCGCAAUAUUAAAAUAUAAUAUUUCUAGUUGUUCUAUUAAAGAAUACCAUAGUAGAUUAUUGUUAUAUAUAAUUUUCCGUUAGUUUCCUCUGUGUUCACGAUCUUCUAGGUUUUGGAGACAAUGAAACGUGGUAGAGGUCAGAAAUAAGAUCGCAAAGCUUGCAUACGUUAUAUAUUUUAUAUUGUCGUAUAACCAUAAUCCUUUUUUAUAAAACAUUCUUGUCUAUCACUCUGAUUUGUUUUCAUUAUGCCCGUCCAAAGGUGAUCAUCGACGUAUACAUCGCCGUGUUUAUAAUAACAACUUCGACUAUUUGCUCGAUGUACCCAAGGAUGGUGCGAAAAAGGCAAGAAAUUAUCGUAUGGAAAAACUCAGAGCACGAAGGACUGCCUUCCGUAAUAGAUUAUCGGGUUAAGUCUAUUAUCUUUAAAAAAUUUAUUAAUUUAAUUAAUAAAAACGCCCACACACGCGUAAUUAAGUUGUAGUGAUAAUAUAUAUUCAUAAUUUCUAGGCAUGGAGUCGAUUAAUCGAACACGUGUUAUCGCGGCAUAUGAAAACAUGAUAUCUGAUGAAUUACGUGCGUUAUUGAAUUCACGACCUCCUAAGGAUGUUUGUUGUCGUGCGAGAGCGCGCCGUGUAGCAAUACUUAAAUUAAGACGGAUAAAAGCGAGGACAAGACCACCAGAAACCGGUACGAUCCUUUUAUAUUAAGUUUUUAUUCUCGAAAUUGUACGUGUGAUUAACAAAUAAAAAAAUGUUAUAUAUAAGGGUUGGUGUUGCCGAUUUACGAAGAUGAUUACGUGCAUUUCCUCGCAACCGAUUCGGAUUCUGAUCAUGGUGAUAGGGAGGACCAAACAGACGACGAUAAUGCAAUGGAUUAUGAUUUUGUUGAACAUCUCGAUAACGCCGAUGAGUGUAUUAUGGAACAGGAAGGGUUUGGAUCCAUACCGAUCAUAAAUGUGAAACCUGGAUUAACAGAAAAUGGUACUUACUAUGGUUGUUUUUUUUAUAAUCUUUUAAAAAAUAUAAUUGAUAUUAUUGUGUACAUGAGUGCUUCUUGUGUCAGGUUAUUUUGAUGAUGGAGAUCCGUUUUACACCUGUCAAAAUUGCGGUGCUUAUAUGUGGUUUGGCGAGCGUAUUAACAAACGUGGAGCUAAAAAUAGGCCUAUAUUUUCUAUGUGUUGCAUGAAGGGUAAAGUGGAGCUGCCUAAACUAAAAAAUCCUCCACCGGUGCUUAUGUCGAUGUUGUAUGGCAAGGAUGAGACAAGCAAAAAUUUCCGUGCUUUAAUUAGAGCAUACAAUAUGAUGUUCUCAUUCACGUCGCUUGGUGGUCAAAUUGAUAAUUCCGUGAACCAUGGGAAUGCACCGUAUGUGUUUCGCAUGCAGGGUCAAAAUUAUCAUCGCAUCGGUGAACUUUUGCCUGGCCCUUCCAAAAGUCCUGCUUUCUCGCAGCUCUAUAUUCAUGAUACCGUAAACGAAGUCUCGAAUAGGAUGGGUGUUAUGGGGUGAGUUGUUUAUUGUAAUAUAUUUUUUAUAUUAUGUCCACGAAUUAAUUUCCGUUUUUUGUUGUUUUUAAUUGUUUUAGCGAGAAAGGACCGGGUAAGCAAAUAAAGAAGAGUAUCGUUAAGACUUUGAAGGAUAUGUUAGAUGCUAACAACCCACACGUCAUCGCGUUUAGAUCAGCUAGAGAUAGAUUAGCACAAUGUGAAGAUACCAGCGGCUUUAAGUUGAUUUUGAAAAAUCAUCGAGAUAGUGACGGUAGAGUCCAAAAUAUACCUACGACUGACGAGGUUGCUGGGCUUAUCGUGGGAGAUAUAAACCCUAAACCGCGUGAUGUAGUGCUUCAGGCUAAUUCUGGAGGGUUUCAGCGUAUAAGUGAGCUGCACCCAUCCUACCUCCCUCUACAGUAUCCUUUGCUUUUUCCUUACGGCGAGGAUGGAUUUAGGUUAGGUAUCGACAUUGGAUUCAUCGAUAAAGGCGGUCUAAAAAGAACAAAAGUGACGAUGAGAGAAUUCUUUGCGUAUCGCAUUCAAUCGAGACGAGGUGAAUCUCCUACUAUUGUUAUGUCCAGGAGAUUAUAUCAGCAGUUCCUGGUUGAUGCGUAUACGAUGAUCGAAAGCAACAGGCUUCGUUAUUUGUUUUUUAACCAGAAAAAUCUCCGCUGUGAAAGCUAUUCGCAGAUUCUUAAAGUUUCUAAGAAAGGAAAUAAAAAUCUUUCCAGAGAAGGUAAUAAAGUUAUGAUACCAUCUUCUUUCACCGGAGGGCCUAGGUACAAGACGCAGCAUUAUCUUGAUGCGAUGGCUACUUGCAAGUAUUAUGGCUUUCCUGAUCUAUUUAUCACUAUAACUUGUAAUCCUGCGUGGCCCGAGAUUACUAGGUAUCUGGAAAAAUACAACUUAAAACCCAAGGAUAGGCCCGACAUCUGUUGUAGGCUUUUUAAGCUGAAACUCGAUAAUCUCAUUCAUGAUCUUACCCAUAAUAAGAAGCUGGGAACUGUCUCUUCUGGUAAGAUUGACCAAACUUUUAUAGCGAUAUUUGUGUCUCGCAUAAAUUAUGUGUUAUUAUUAUAUAUAUAGAAUUUUAGAAUCUUAAAUUUUUAACCUCUUAUUCUGUAAUUUCUUGUAUAUUUUACAGUUUUAUACACGAUUGAGUUCCAGAAAAGGGGUCUACCACACGCACAUAUGGUCCUGUUCCUAGCUCCAGGAUCAAAACUUCCAACUACUGAUGAUAUUGAUAAACAUAUUAGUGCAGAAAUUCCUGAUCCAGAGUUAGAGCCGUUUUUGUAUGAAGUUGUAGCAGAUAUGAUGGUGCAUGGUCCGUGCGGAGUUGUUAAUCCCGGCUGUCCGUGUAUGCAAAAAGGCAGAUGCACCAAAUACUACCCUAGGCCUUACAGUGAUCAGACUAAGGUUGAUGACGAGGGGUAUCCUAUUUAUAGACGGCGAGCGGAUGGCAAAUUCAUCGUGAAGCAAAAAUUUAAUGUCGAUAAUAGGUACAUCGUUCCAUAUAACGCUUAUUUAUCGAAAAGGUAUCGUGCUCAUAUUAAUGUCGAGUGGUGCAAUCAUUACGAUCUAUCAAAUAUCUCUUCAAGUAUAUCCACAAAGGACCCGAUUAUAUCAGAGCAAAAAUACAAAAGGACGGUCAAGAAGAGGAAGUCCAUGACGAAAUAAAACAGUAUUAUACAUGCAGGUGCCAAAUGAGACUAAUUGUUUAUAAAAUGUUAUGUUAUCGUCUUAGACUAAAUACUGUUGUUGGGAGUUUUGAAAUUAUUGCCUCAUUCUCAUUAUUUUUUAUGUCGUUUCGUUUAUAGGUAUAUAUCUGCAUGCGAGGCCACUUGGAGAAUAUUAGCUUUUGCUACACAUUACCGGUCUACACCAGUAGAAAAACUUACAUUUCAUCUUCCUGGUGAAGAGGUCAUUGUUUUCGAUCCGAAUGAUCCUGUUGAUGAGGUUAUAAGUCGUAAAUCUAUCGGCCGUACAAUGUUCUUGGCUUGGAUGGAAUGUAACAAAGCGUAUCCAGAAGCCAGAGAAUUGACAUAUGCGGAUUUUCCAUCUAAGUUUGUUUGGAAAAGCAGAGAGCGUGUCUGGAAACCCCGAGUAAAAGGAUUCUCGAUAGGAAGGAUUAUGUAUGUUUCUCCUUCCCUUGGAGCCAAGUAUUAUCUAAGGCUCCUGUUAAAUUCUGUGACAGGUCCUACAUCUUACGAUGACAUCAAAACGGUAAAUGGCAUUAUAUAUCCUGAGUUUGUUGAUGCUUGCAAUGCACUGGGGUUGCUCGCAGACGACCGAAUAUUUAUAGAUGCUAUAAAAGAAGCGAGUUAUUUCGUGAAAGGUUUACCCUUGCGAAAAUUAUUUGUGAUGAUGAUCGUCGCCGGAGAUAUAGUAAAUCCUUUGCGAGUUUGGGAGGAGACUUGUGAUCUACUGUCGGAAGGUAUCUUAUUCGAACGUAGAAAAGUGUCGAGGAAUCCGGGUAGGUGGAUCAUUUCUAUUGUUUAUGAAAUAUAUAUAGCUGUCUUAUUAAUUGAAUAGUAAUAAUAACAUGUUUCGUGUGGUUUGCAGCUUUGACGCUUUCUGAUAAACAAAUAAAAAAUUUCACGUUGGCGUCUAUUGAACUCUUGCUGCGGGAUAACGGGAAGACUCUGUCUACUAUCGAAGGAUUUCCGCAGCCGGAUGAUAUAUCUCUUGAUACGAGUACAAAUCGGCUGUUGUUGGAUGAGCUUGGUUAUAACCACGAAAAAGAAGCGAAAGAACACGUGAGACUCCUAGCCACGAUAACGGAUGAACAAAAAGUAGUUUACGAUGAAGUGAUGAAGGCAGUUUUAGAUAAAAAAGGCGGUGUCUUUUUUCUAUAUGGAUACGGGGGCACAGGCAAAACGUACGUCUGGAGUAUUUUAUCGGCUGCUAUAAGGUCUAUGGGACUUAUUGUUCUUAAUGUAGCAUCGAGCGGGAUAGCCUCUUUGCUGAUGCCUGGAGGUAGAACUGCACAUUCAAGAUUUUCGAUACCUCUAACGGCUGAUGAAUUUAGUAUGUGUGCGAUGAAACCAUCAUCCCAUCUCGGUGAGUUGGUAAAACAGGCUAGCUUAAUUGUAUGGGAUGAGGCUCCUAUGAUGAGCAGACAUUGUUUUGAGACGUUGGAUCGUAGUAUUCGGGAUGUUAUGAGAUGUAAUACUGAUCGGCCGUUCGGCGGUAAAACAAUUGUCUUUGGAGGAGAUUUUAGACAAAUAUUGCCAGUAAUCAGUGGUGCAGGUAGAGAGGAAACCGUUUUGGCCACUAUUAAUUCGUCGUAUAUCUGGGAAAGUUGCAGGCUGUUGAGGCUAACCAAGAACAUGAGACUUUUAGAUGGUAAUUCGGAUGAUGCUGCACAGGAACUCAGAGAUUUUGCAAAAUGGAUUCUUGACAUAGGAGAUGGUACGAUCAACGUUACAGACGAUGGCGAUGCUGAUGUGGAGAUUCCUGAUGAUUUGCUGAUUUCUAAAUGUGGUGAUCCUAUCAAAGCCAUCGUACAUAAUGUUUAUGGGUCAACGUUGGUCAAGGAUAAGGAACUUUCUUUUUUCCAAGAAAGGGCUAUUCUUACUCCGAGAAAUAAUGACGUGUGCGUGAUCAACGACUAUGCGCUAUCACACAUGGAAGGUAGAAAAUUAAUGUUAAAACUUUUAUAUAUUGAUUUAGAGUAUGUUUACUGUUGUUUAUUAUUUUAGUUUGAUAGUGGAUUUAAUGUUGUUUAUUAUUUUAAUUUUCAUUCAUGUUGACGCCCCGGGGUUGUUAGGUGAAGAGAGAGUCUAUCUUAGUUGCGAUAGUAUUGAAUUAUCGGAUGCGGACAAAAGAGAUAAUAUGGUUUAUACACCCGAGUUUUUAAACAGCAUCAAAGUCUCGGGGUUGCCAAAUCACAGGCUGGUAUUGAAAGUCGGAGUUCCAAUCAUGGUUCUACGGAAUAUUGAUCCUAAGAAUGGACUUUGUAAUGGUACAAGAUUACAAGUGACUCAGUUAGCGAAUCAGGUUAUAGAAGCUAGAAUUAUUACUGGUACGAGAGUUGGAGACAUAGUUGUGAUUCCUAAAAUGUACUUGAGUCCCACCGAGACGAGGUUCCCAUUUAGAAUGAAACGUUGUCAGUUCCCGAUUGCGGUUGCUUUCGCAAUGACGAUUAAUAAAAGUCAAGGUCAGACUUUGACUAAUGUAGGUUUGUAUCUACCUAAGCCUGUCUUUUCGCACGGGCAAUUGUACGUUGCACUUUCGAGAGUCACAUCCAGGAGAGGCCUCAAGAUACUGAUAACAGAUGAUAGGGGACAGCCUCAAAAGACUACUAAAAAUGUUGUUUAUCACGAAGUAUUCCAGAACAUUCGUUAGUUUGAUUCUAGGAUUUUUCUCUCCUUUUACUACCUGUUUUGGGCUUUCAGCUUACGACAAUUUUUUUGUUUUAAUUAUAUUUUUUAUAAUACAUUUUGGGUUUUAAAUAAAAGGAAAUUCCAUCGGAUAUUGCCAUCUUUAAAUAAAAAUGCUAAGAAAAUAAAAUGGAAAAUGUCACGCAAAAUGUUAUUAAACAAAAAAAGGGUUGCGACGGUACGUGUCUUGACAAAGGAAGGAAAAUCGAACAUAAAAACAAAAGGGCUGCGACGUUUCAUUGUCUAGGUUAGUUCCCUAUAUAUACUUAGUUGUUAAGCGUUCUUGUGGGCAGACCAUUAUCUUACGCCGCAUAACGAAUUUUCGCAUAGGAGCAGAUAUGUCUUCUCGGUUCACAUCGUCUUCUAUUGAACGUUACAACGAUUUCUCUCGGUUGAACCCUGCAAUUGUUGGAUGGCAUGUUCACGUUAAGGUUUUGCGUCGCUUCCACACCGAUGACUAUAUAUCGAAGGGUGGGCUAGGGUUACUUCUGGUUGAUGAUAAGGUAUUGGUUCGAAAUAAGAUUUGGCUUUUCUUUAGAUAUGUAUUAGCCUUUGUUGUUAUGGAUGUUUGCGGUUUCCCGACUUUUGUGAUUUUGGUUUUGUGAUGCAGGGUAAUCAGAUCGAAGCGCUUAUUUGUUCGCCGUUGACUUUUCAUUAUUCAACGUUUAUUGAAGAAGAUGAAUUCUACGCUAUUAUGAAUUUCAGAGUUGUGGAGAAUUCGGGAUUCACUAAACUAACAAGGAGUGACUUUAAGAUAAUGUUUUAUGAUGGUACUAUCGUUAAAGAAGCGUCUUCGUUUUCUCAAGAUGACUAUAUUGUCGCUACACCUUUUGGUGCUAUUUUCAAUGGAUAUCAUGAUACUUCUUAUCUCAUAAGUAAGUUUUGUUUGUUAUGCUUUACAGAACGUUCAGCGGUUUUAGUUAUUUAUUUUCCUUAUGUAGAAAUCUUGAUAUUUGCUUGUAGCUUUGAUUGGGCGGGUCGUCGAGUCGAGUGAUCUUACGAACGUGACCGAUGAACCAUCUGUCAUAGGGGGAUACAGAUACUCAUUCACCAUUGAAGAUCAAGAGUACGAUUUCUUUCAUCGUUGGUUAUUUGAAAUUACAAUAUAAUAUAUUUAUUGAAAUCAUGAUAUAAUAUGUUUAUCGAUUCACAUACAUUUUUAUUUUGAUUAAUAAAUAGGAAGAAGACCCUCAAGUGUUGUGCAUAUGGAGGAGUGGCGAUAGAGUGCCAUGAUCGGUUUAGAAAUGUGAUUGGUACGGAUGUUACGUGUGUUCUUCGCUGGUGGAAAGUUUAUCAACUCCUUGAUGGAUGGAGGCACGUUCGUAUCUACAGCCAUCCCCCCUACUCGAAGAUUCUGGUCCAGAGCGAUGCCGAUAACGUCGAGCACUCUUGAUAAAUUAGUAUUUAUCAUAUUUAAUAUGUGCUUUAUUUGUUUCCUUAGAUUAUGCAAUGUUGCGUUUGGUUUUAAAUUAUGACAUAUUACUUAUUUUUUAUUAUUAUUAAUAGAAACUAUCUUAUUAUGAAAGAUGCACUUUGUUAUGUACCGAUACAGUGAUAUCUUUGGUAAAUAUUCACUUCUUAUACUUUAUGCAAAAAAUCCCCCCCCAAAAAUAGUAAAUAUGUUAGAUUUAGCUAAAAUUGAAAAAUCUGCAAAAUAUUUUCGAAUCUCUGUUUAAGACUUAUUACUUUUUUAUACUUCUGAUAAUUCCGAAUCUAAUGUUAAAUAAUUGGAAAAUCCGGAUCUAUAUAUAUAUAUAUAUCGAUUUAUACUUGGCUUCGGUGUUUAUAACCACCAGGAUCGAUGGAAUCGUUUAGAUGUCAUGGGUGGCCUUUUGACGUUAUGACCUAUAACAGAAAUAUGUUCACUAUAUCAUCUCUGAAUCCGUUGAUCCAUGAAUGGAGUACUUGUGUUAAGAUUUUGCAUGUUUGGCACGAACUCGACGAUGUUAGUAAUGCACUAAACCUUAUUUUGAUGGAUAAUCAGGUUGGUAAUUCUUCAAAAUAAACUGUAAUCGGUAUUUGUGUUAAGAUUUUGUAUUGAGAUGUUUUAAUGUUUUGUAAUUAAAUCAGGGUACGAAAAUCCGAGCCGUCAUUCGCGAAAGUUUGGUAACUAGGUUUUCGCCAUUACUGAUUGAGGGUCUCUGGAUGAUAUUAAGAAAAUUUUCGUUAAUCCCUGAUGUCGACUUAGUCAGAACUACUCCACAUAGAUUCAAGAUUCAGUUCUCUCCUGAUACAUGUGUCGACUAUCUUAAUUACCUCGCAUGUGAUUAUGAUUUCUUUAACUUUGCGAGAUUUCGUGAUAUUCGUACGGGUAUAAGUAACCCGUAUAUCUGUGUAGGUGGGAUUAUAUUCGUUUCUCUUCUGGUUAGAUUUUUCCCAUAACUACUCUAAUCAUUACGUUGUAUUGUUUUCUUUAGAUUUGGUCGGGGUUGAUAAUGUGAAUGACAUACAACUCGUGCAGAUGGUGGGCUCUUCGAAAGAUAUUUCUGUGGUUUAUUUUGACCUAAUUGAUACAGAGUAUUGAUUCUUAGUCUUAUACAGAUAUAUAAUUUUGUUUUCUCUCAACGAAUUUGUCAUAAUAAUGUCAACUUUGGUAUAAAUUUGUAGGCAUACGCGUUUGAGUAUCAGACUGACCGGUGAAACCGCCGUUAGAUUUCAUAGACAGUGGAAAGUUAACACCGACGAUGUCGUGAUUUGUAACAUCAGAUUUGCCAAGAUAGUGGCUACGUCUAAUCGUAUGUGGCAUUGCACAAACAUUGGUUGCUCUAAAAUUAUGGUGGAUGCUCCGCUGCCUGGUGUUGUAGAACUAAAAGAAUGUGGGCUGAUUACUGCGGGAGUCCUAGGACGGGGGUCAAAGAAGCUCGAUUGGCCUAAUUUUGUAUGAUUCUGUAUUUUUCGUUUGGGUGGUUUAUUUUCAGUUUACUGAUUACAGAGUCGGCAUUUGUAAUCGGUUUUAACAUUUCGAAAGAUUGUUAGACAUUUCGCUUUUAGUGAGUUUUGGUAAUUUAAUCUAAACUUAAUUUAUUAAUCUUAUGGAUAAAUUCUAUAUCGUUUAAUCAAUAUUCGGUUUUGUUAAUUUUCUGAUUUAGUUUUUAAUAUAAGAAUUUUCCAUUUUGUAUUUCGGACCGUUAGAUCGAGCUAAAAACAACCAGAUAAAAACUACAACCAUCCGAUCUUAACUUUGACACUUACCUCUGCCUUCCCUAUUAUAAUAAUCAACUUUAUUUACGAGCGUCAAAUUAACAUCUUAUUAGACGCGAGUAAUAUUGGCCGUCCGAUCAACACGUGUCUAUAAAAAACAUGGGCCAGUCCAUUAAUCUCUUUGAAAUCAUGGUCCAUUCGUUUAUAUAGUCGGGCUUUGGGAUCAAUUAGUUCGGGCUUUGAUACAUUUGAUCCCCGUCGCCGUCCGAUUGAGAUCUCCUCUCAUUCUCUACCGUCUGAUUUGGUUACUAACAUGGUCAAACCUUAUUAAAGAAUGUACUACUUUCCAAAAUACAAAAUAAGAUAAUAAGUAUAUUUCUAUAUUUAUAUAAAAUAGUAUGUAGAUCCAUAGUAUAAAAUCGUAAAUUUUCUUCUUACAAAUGUAUAUAUAUAGUGUUAUUUCGUUUUUGUAUUAGCGAUGAUAUCGUAUAAUAUCGUUGUUAGACGUAUCCAUUUAGGUAUAUUUAACUUAUAUUAUGCGAUAAAUACAGAAAUAUUCCAAACAAUUUUGAUUUGUAAUUGUCUAGAUAAUGGCAGAUCUCUAUAUUUUUCUUAAACCAUAACAAACUGUACAACAUGCUCUUCUUCUAUAAAUACUGAUUGUGUCAUGGUCGAAAAUUGUAGACAUUCGUUUAUAGUUGUUGUAAAAGUUCUACAAUGAAAUAUACGGUUAUAAUUUAUGCUCUGUUUACUGUGUAGUAUUGUUUCUGUGUGAUUUGUUUUUUAUUGUUCGUAUGAUUGGUAUCUAAUAUGGUUAAUUUAAUUACUGGAAUAGGGAUCCGGAUACGGUGAUGGGGUCCUUUCUCAAUUUCUGGUACGUAUUGAUUGUUUAAAACUAACUGUUUCUUAUGAGUUUAUAUACUAAUUAUUAUUUCUUAUCUAACAUUAAUUGAUAAUUGUAUUAUUAUCUUAUUUACAAGGAUGUUACAUCCGAUUCUUCGUGUAUCUCUGACGUCGAGGUAUAUAUUCCUUUGAUCAUGUGUGUUAGUUUUUUCUUUUUGUUUAUUCUUUUAAUCUUUUAAAUCUAACUUUUAUAUUUGACGUUUAUACACAGGAAAACGUCAAAGAGGUAGGCUACAAACAUGUUUGUUUCGUCUCCAUGUUGAUAGCGAAUUCGUAUUCUCAUACAAAUAGUUUUAAUACAUUGUUUCUUUCUUAUGUAGUAUCUCGAUGAUGUGUCUGCUGCAGUUGAUCUUUCUUCUGUCCUGGUAAAUAUCUGACACGGUCGUUAAUUAGUAACGUUUUUAUCGUCUCUAUAUAUUGAUGUUAACAACACAAUGUUGAAUUUUAUAUUUAUUUGAAUUCCUAGCAUGUCGAGGCCAGUGCUGCAGUUCUAUCGUUAGAUGAGGUAAUUAUUGAAUUACUUGGUUACUAUGUAGUUGUAUAUUAUUAAUAUAUAAUGUAUGAUUCAACUACUUUAUCUUUAUCUAACGCUAUACUGUUUGUAAAUAACAAGUUCAAGGAUGUGCUUUCGGAUCUAGGUGCAUUGUCGGCCGAUAAAGAUUACGUUUUGGCUGUACUUUACCUGGUAUAUUAUUAUUGGGUUUUUAUUUAUAAUAUUACGCAUUUUAUUCCUAUUUAUACUCUAUAUAUAUUGACAAAUUAUAAUCCGUAAAUAUUGACAAAUAUACUAUAGGAAUCUCGGACACAGUUGAAGUCUCUAUACUUGAGAUAUCUUUUGUCCAGAUAUCUACAGGUUGGUAUAUGUUGUCAAUUUUUAUAUUCGAUAUGUAUGUUUCGAAGCUUAAACAGAAAAAUAAAAAGAAAAAAACUUAUAUCUUCGUUGAUUUGUAUAGGAGGCAAAAUCAUUGGACCCUCUGAUGCAGACUAAAAAGGUUAAUUGGUAACUCUAUAUAGUGUGCAGUUUGAUUUAUUAUUUGGUAACAUUCGUUCCGAUUUACGUGUUUGAUAAAUGUUGGUAAUAUAAGUUAUAUUGCUUAUACUUUAUUUUGUAUAUCUUCCAGAAUUAUGCUGACUUGCGCAUGAAGUAUUUUGGUGAUGGGGUGAGAUAAUUUAUAUCUAUCUUACUAAUAGUUGAUGUACAUAUAUUAUAUAUAUAGUCAGUUUGUAUUCAUGUAAUAAGAUACUAAUGUGUUGUCUAUUAUUAUCUUGAAGCGUUUUGUUGCUGCUGGUAUGAAGCCAUACCCGUCUGACGGUCUUGAGUGUGAUGAGAUUUUAAUGAAUACCAAUGAAGAUACUCUUGAGUGUAUUAAUGAUAUUGUCAUCAGUAGUUGGCGUUUAUGCCCGGCGUAUCUACGCCUUCGUUUUGUUGAAUCGUUGAUACUCUAUAAAAGCAUUAAUGUCCACACGGUAUGGGACGCUUGCUAUCGAGUUUUGAGUGGUGAUGUGUUGGCUGAACAGAAAAUCGCGCGUAAUAAUCCUGGUAUUAAUCUAUCAUCAAUACUAAAUACUUAUAGAUGUUGUUUGACUUGAUAGUUGUGUCUCAAAAAGGUGUUGCUUUUUAUUACACUAGGGUUGGAGUUAUCCGAUGUGCAAUUAGAGUGGUAUGGUUUUCGUGUUAUGCGUAAGGUGAUGGGUGAUCUUGGAUUCCAUCAUGCCGGUUUUGAAGGUGUGCGUCUUGGUAUAGUUCGCCGACUCUUAACUUACAAAUGUGAUGACAUGUCAAUGUGAUAUUGGCCUAGAUUUGUUAUCGUUGUCUUGGUUUUGCUUUAUCGGUGUUAUAGUUUCGGUAUUGGUUUAUUAUUCCACCUAAUACUAUCAAUAUAAUAGUGUCUUGGUGUUAUUUAUUUUAUCAUUUUAUCGUUAUGGGAAUUAUUAACCUUUCUGAUUUAUUAUUUAUGAAUUUGUUAUUUUAAUUGGGUUUGUUCUUUCUUGUGUAUUUAAUAUGAUUAUCGACUAUAUCAUGUUCGUAAUGCGAAUUAUAUACGAAGUACCGCGUAAUCCAUAAUUUUUAACUACAUGUAUUUGUUGCUGUAUCACUUUUUCUAAGAUAUUCAUUUAUAACUUUUUCUAGAAUAUUUCUGUUUAUGCGUAAUUUUCUUUGAUAGUUGAACAAUAAUGCGUCUGUGUUUGCUAUCAUUGUUACAAAGACUUAGAACUUCCGACGACUGUUAUCAUGUUUCUCGACACAUAGACGAUGCGUGUAGGUUAUCAUCGCUUAUCUCUUCUGUAAUUUUUUUUAUUAUGUUCGUAUCCGGUAAAAAUUGAAUGGGAUUAACUGUACUGUUUUGUAGUAAUAACUAGAAAAUAACCAGUUGCGAUUUGACGUCGUCUGUACCGUAUUUUAUAGUUCGAUAUAUCUACUUGCUUUUAGAUAUUCCGUUUCAUUUUAAUAUAUACUCUCUCCUCUGUUUUAUUAUUAUUAUUCACGCUAUUAUAUAUAAGCAAACCAAACAAAAAGAACAAAAAAAAAAAAAAAAAAAAAAACAACUACUACAUCAACACGCCCGAAAAGAAAGAAAAAAAUAUUAUUUUAUCGCGAUUGUUAUGGAAAUCGCGUGUAAUAAUAAACAAAAUCUCUACAAUUAGGGAUACUGUUAUGAUAUGCAUCGAUUGUGAUAAAUACUAAAUUGACACUUUUAAUAGUUACAAUUUUAUUUAUAUAGUAUAGUUUCUGGAUAUGCGUUAUAGUUCUAUAUAUAUUUCGCUUUAGUGAGUUUUUGUAAUUUAGUCUGAAAGAUGUUAUAUGAUAUUAGUUAAAAACUCUGUUGAGGUGACAUACAUGAUACAUAACUUGUCAUUGGUUAUAGUUUUUUUGUAUUACUCAUUCAAAAAAGUUGUUUCUCAAAAUGCAUCGUGUGGUUUUGGUUUCCGUCGUUAGGUAAAAUGGAACUUUAUUUGCGUCCCUAAUAACUUACACCAUUUGUAUAUAUUAUUAUUAUGGUGUUGAUAAUGGGGUUAUUACGAGAAUGAGCAUUUAUUAGGUCAAAAGUUUGAUUUUAGGUUUUUCUAUCCCGACUUGCAUAUUUAGGUAUUUUUGGAUUUAGUUAAAUGACAUUUUUGCCCCUACUGAAUUAAAUGGAAUUUUGGAAAAAUUUAAAAAUUUGACAAUUCUUCUCCGGUGGAAUUAAGAAGAAAAGCGUCUUGGACACCUACAGUCGCUGGGCUGAGCUACCGGAGAAUCCGCCUCCAACCGCCGCAUGCUUCCUCCUUCCAGAUCUAUCCCACCGUCUCGCUAUUUACCCUAUGGCAACUUCGAUUUUUACUUUCACGACACACAGUCCACCGCCCGUCGAUGUGGAGUGGAAGCCAUUGGGUUUGCGGAGGUCUUGGGUUGCUCACUUGUGGCGGAUCUGUUGCCGCUUGAAGACGACGGCACGAUCUGCUCUCCGAUUCGCCGCCAACAUCAUCUCCGAUCCGAAACACAAAACCUCUCCUCCGCCAACACCAUCUCCAAUGAGUUGGAUUCAACUAAUUCUUUUUGAAUAACAAAAAAUAAACCCUAAGGGGAUAGUAUCCUCUAAACCCAAGGGCUCCAAUUGAAAUAAUUGUCAAAAUUAGGAUCUGGGUUUCCAUAAUCUUCAUGUUGGUAAGUGAAGGAGAAAGCUUAAAGUUUUUGUCGUUCACAAAAAAAAAAACAAUUAUUUUUGCUUCAAUUGGUGACAAGGGUAAAAACGACUUUUCCGAUGUUUGAGGAAUGCUUAAAACAGAAGUAUGGGCAAAUAAACCCAAACUGAUAAGUUUGACUGAAAAAAGUACCGAUCCGGUAAUUAACUCUGUUGAUAAUAGAGUGAUAUUUUUUACCCUUAAGUUUCGUUAGUAUAUAUUUCAGUUUAACUGUUGAGAUUUGGUUUCUUUUUUAAAAACUUAAUUUAUUAAUUUUAUGGAUAAAUUCUAUAUCGUUUAAUCAAUAGUCGUUUUUGUUAAUUUUCUGAUUUAGUUUUUAAUAUAUAUUUUCCAUUUUUAUGUUCUUUCCAAAUAAUCGUUAGGUCUACAUAUAUGUAUCCCGCAUUUAUACCUCAUUGGAAUAUUUACCCGCGUAAUCUUUUGUUAUGGGUUCUACAAUGAUACCUUUUACAUCUGAUUCAUGUGAUGGUGGUUAUUUUCGUAUUGCGUCUCUUAACCCUAACAUAGGUGAGUGGUCUGUCUCGGUGAAGAUUUUGAAUUGUUGGUCUGUUUCGCGUGGCACGGGUAGAGAGCUCAAUAUGAUUUUGGGUGACGAGCAUGUUAGUUUUUUGAUAACUUACCUGCUAUACAUGUUUUCGAUAUUAAAUUGAAUUGGUUUUGUCUUUGACAUUUUAUUUGCAGUUCACACAAAUCCAAGCCGUUGUUCGUGAUGAAUUAAUUGAUAAUUAUCUUUCAAGAUUGAUAAUCGAUGAGUGGGUGAGCAUUAAAAAUUUUGAUGUAUCACGGGUUAACAGCAUAUUGAGACCAGUACCGCAUAGAUUCAAGAUUGUGUUUCGUUCGGACACUUUAGUGCAAAGUAUUAAUAUGUGCUCCAGUAGGACCUAUUUCAAUCUAACUGAGUUUGUGAGUAUAUUGAGUGGUAUUGUUAAUCCGAAUAUUUGCGUUGGUAAGCCUAAUUUAUAAAUUUAUUUGUGCUUUUGGAGUUUAUUUGCGGUUCAUGUUCUGACUGUAUUAUUCAUGUGUGUGUUUCAUAGAUGUUGUUGGCAAAAUUGUCAACGUGAGAGAGUUGGUUUUUGUUCCUUCCGUGGAACAUUCUCAAGGAGGAUAUUUUGAGCUGUACUUUGGUUUACGUGAUACUGAGUAAGUCACUAUUCUUUUAAAGAUUUAAACCAGAAUAUAAUGUCUUAUGACUUCUUCAAAUCUUAAAAUUAGGUGUAUCCAUCUAGAGUGUCGUUUAACGGGUGACCUUGCAGUCGAGUUCUAUGACUUAUGGAAGCAUCGUUCACGUAACACAGUGAUAUGUAUUAUCAAGUUUGUGAAAUUAGAACUAUCACAGGAACAUAGGUGGAGAUGUACCAAUGUUACCGGAAGUACGAGGAUUAUGUUGAAUCUGGAUCUCAGUAUUACCGACGAGAUGCUUUGUUGGUAAGUAUUUUUUUUUCCGUUUACAAUCAAAACUCUAAAGUUGGCGACUGGACAUUCACUGUUUAUGGUGUUCUUAAUCGGAUGUCAGGAAUCCUGAAAAUGACCAAGUACCAAUCAUCACACGGAAGGAGAAUGCCAUGGAGUGAUGAUGUUCGUUGAUUUCUUAUUUUGUUGGUAAAUGAUUUUAAAAGAUGAUUUAUUAUUAUUUUUUAGCAUUUAUAAUAUUAUUGAAUUUUUUAAAUUUCAUCAUUUUCCAUAAUUUUACCACACUAAAUCCUAAACAAUUUACCAUUUUUUUCUUACACUACCAAGUAACACCUAAACAAUCCCUUAUUUCACAUGAUUUUACCAUUUAUACAACAUUCUUCCCGCGCAUGCGCGCGGGCAAUCACCUAGUUAAAUCAUAUUUAUGUAGAAAGAAUCUCACUUUGAUAGUCAAUCACUUUGUGCGCGAAGAAAUUUGACGAAAAGGGUUACAAAAAAAUGGAUUUUUGACGGUUUUUUUUUUUUUUUUGGUAGGAAUGGAUUUUUGACGAUUGAUUAUAAACGUUUAAUUUUUUAGUAAUAUUUUUGAGUUCUCACUUCUUCUUCUUCUUCUUCUUCUUCUUCUUCUUCUUCUUCUUCUCGUAAAACCCUAAUUCUUGAUUUGGCUAUGGAGUCCGUCGAAUUGAACAAUCCCAACCCCAAUUCGCAAACCCUACAUCAACCUCCUCCUUCCUCCAACGGAGACACUGCUCCACUCGCAUCGGAUCAUAUGAAUCCUCAGAAUUCGGAUUCUGUGGCUUUAAACGGUUCGUCUACUCCUACACCCGAUACUAAUGGUUCAUCAGCAAAGCCUGAGUUCUUGCGUCCUUUGCUAUCGGAGAACGAUAAGGAUCAGUCUGGUGGAGAGGAAGAAACUACGAGCAGGAGGAAGCGUCGGAGCCGGUGGGAUCCUCCGCCUUCUGAAGGGGGUACUGAUUCCGAACCUGGAAUUAGGAAGCGUAAGUCGCGAUGGGCAGAUGAUGAGCCCAAGCCGCAGAUUCAGUUACCUGAUUUCAUGAAGGAUUUCACCGGAGGUAUUGAGUUCGAUCCUGAGAUUCAGGCUUUGAAUAGUAGGUUACUUGAGAUUAGUAGGAUGUUGCAGUCUGGUAUGCCUUUGGAUGAUAGACCGGAAGGACAGAGGUCUCCUUCACCAGAGCCUGUGUAUGAUAAUAUGGGAAUUAGGAUUAACACUAGAGAGUAUAGAGCAAGGGAGAGAUUGAAUAGAGAAAGACAAGAAAUCAUUGCUCAGAUUAUCAAAAAGAAUCCGGCUUUUAAACCUCCAGCAGAUUAUAGGCCUCCUAAGCUCCACAAGAAGCUUUUCAUUCCAAUGAAGGAGUUUCCUGGUUACAAUUUUAUUGGUCUCAUUAUUGGCCCCAGAGGUAAUACUCAGAAGAGAAUGGAGAGGGAGACGGGUGCUAAAAUUGUUAUUCGGGGUAAAGGAUCUGUAAAAGAAGGUAGGCAUCAGCAGAAAAAGGAUUUGAAAUAUGACCCUGCUGAGAAUGAAGACUUGCAUGUUUUAGUUGAGGCUGAGACUCAGGAUGCUCUUGAAGCUGCUGCUGGUAUGGUUGAGAAGCUUUUGCAACCUGUUGAUGAAGUGUUGAACGAGCACAAGAGGCAACAGCUCAGGGAACUUGCUACCUUGAAUGGAACAAUAAGGGAUGAAGAAUUCUGUAGACUGUGUGGUGAGCCAGGACAUAGACAGUAUGCAUGUCCUUCUCGUACCAAUACCUUUAAGAGUGAUGUUCUUUGCAAGAUUUGUGGUGAUGGUGGACACCCUACUAUUGAUUGCCCGGUGAAGGGUACUACUGGGAAGAAAAUGGAUGAUGAAUAUCAGAACUUCUUAGCAGAGUUGGGAGGAACUGUACCUGAAUCUUCUCUCAAACAGAGUGCUACCCUGGCUCUUGGUCCGGGAAGUAAUCCUCCAUGGGCUAAUAAUGCAGGGAAUGGUGCAAGUGCGCAUCCUGGCUUAGGGUCAACUCCGACCAAACCCCCCUCCAAAGAAUAUGACGAAACAAAUCUGUACAUUGGGUUCUUACCUCCGAUGCUUGAGGACGAUGGUUUGAUUAAUCUUUUUUCAUCCUUCGGUGAAAUUGUGAUGGCAAAGGUAAUCAAGGACCGUGUGACUGGGCUGAGCAAAGGCUAUGGUUUUGUGAAGUACGCUGAUGUGCAGAUGGCUAAUACUGCUGUUCAGGCAAUGAAUGGCUAUCGGUUCGAAGGCCGAACACUCGCUGUCAGGAUUGCAGGCAAAUUGCCACCGCCUACUGCACCUCCAGGACCUCCAGCACCAACUCAAGGUUAUCCUCCCUCAAACCAGCCUCCUGGUGCCUAUCCUUCUCAACAGUAUGCAACUGGUGGUCAACUGCCAAAUCCUCCUGUAGGUUAUUCGACAGCUCCAGUUCCUUGGGGUCCUCCUGUUCCCUCCUAUUCUCCAUAUGCUCCUCCCCCUCCACCUCCUGGUUCUUACCAUCCUGUCCAUGGUCAACAUAUGUCUCCUUAUGGAAUGCAAUACCCACCACCACCACCUCAUGUGACACAAGCACCUCCACCUGGCACUACUCAAAACCCAUCUUCUAGUGAACCCCAGCAAAGCUUCCCACCAGGAGUACAAGCUGACAGUGGUGCUGCUACGUCUGUACCACCAAAUGUCUAUGGUAGCUCAGUCACGGCUAUGCCUGGACAGCCUCCAUAUAUGAGUUAUACGUCUUACUACAAUGCUGUUCCCCCUCCACCACCUCCAGCACCGGCCUCGUCUACUGAUCAUUCCCAAAACAUGGGUAACAUGCCAUGGGCCAACAAUCCUCCUGUCUCAACACCUGAGCACUCACAAGGUCUUGGUAAUGCAUCUUGGGCACCUAAUCCUCCUAUGCCGCCCACUGUUGGUUAUUCACAGAGCAUGGGGAACGUACCCUGGGCUCCCAAACCUCCAGUACAGCCCCCUGCAGAGAAUCCAUCCACUGUUGGAGAUUCUGAGUAUGAGAAGUUCAUGGCUGAGAUGAAGUAGCAUGUGUGUUCUGAUGAGAAACUCCGUAGUGAAGAGGUAAAAUGUCCUCAUUUGAUGUUAUUGUUUGUUCUCCAUACAGGUUUUGAAAUUAAAAUUUGAAAUCGAAUCAAGUGGCUUUCAACAUAGGAUAAAACUUUACUUUCAAAAACCCAGUUAAGAAAGGAAAGAUAUAGCUAUCAAGCUGAAACUUGAACAGGAAUUUCCCUCAACUUUUCCAACGUUUUCAAAUUGCUUUUUUCUUUUAACAUCAUUUUUGCAACAUCAUCAGUUGCAGGAUGAACCAUUUUGUCCAUUAUUUUGUUCUUGAAAGCCUUCCUGCUUAUGUAAUUUAUCUGUUCCUAGUUUUAUCACAUGAUAACUAACUGCUCUAGCUCAUAAUUUGGUCACUGAUGUGUUUGUGAGCAUGCCACAGCUAAAGGAGUCCUGGUAUUCGAUUCUGAAACAUAGAAUCUGGGAGUUGGAUGUUCGAAUUUUGUCAGUUACCCUUUUUGCUCUAUGUUUUGUUCAGUAAACUACUAAUGUGUUUUCUGUCCCACAUGGAAAGCAUUUGUUUUCACUUCUAAGUUUUUCCAUCUGACAACAUCAAAACUGCCACUAGCAUAGAUUCCAAAAGUUUGUUAUUAUAUACGGCUCAUUAACACGAAUUUUUGUUUUGUUGAUAUUGUUAAUUUUUUCAGGUGUGAUGUUUCUUGGAGGUCUUGUACCCUGAUUUCUUACAUCUUUCUUGUUGGAAGUUUGGGACUCACAUCUUAACCCUUGCUAUGCUGUUGUGAAAUAUGCAGAGAUACAGGCUGGAAGCUCCCGGUUCAGACAAUCAGAAAGGCCAUAAGAAUUUUAUUAACGUUACUGAUAAUAUUGCUGCUCUUUUGUAGGACUAUAUUUAUGUCUGGGGUUCUUGUUUCAUUUCAUAAUACUCAUAUUUACCGUUGAUCAGUGUGUUAAGUCUAGUCUGCUUCAGCUCUCACAAUUUUUUAUGUACUGUUUCAAUUUGGGAGUAAAAAACUUUUGGUGGUAUUGUAGUGCGAAAAAUAUCCGUUAUUCUUUGUGAUGCAAGAUAUGAUCCUCUUACUCUUGAGGUCAUCUCUUUCGUUUAUCUUGUCUCUUGUGUGCAUAGGGAAUUCAUCAGUUCUCGCAGGAACCUGAAGGCAACAGGGGUAUGUUGAACUACAUUGGACAUAUUUACCACUGAUACUUGAUGGUUAUUCUCCACCUUGAUUCAGACUUGUAUUACUGAUAUAAUAAUAUCUUUCAAGCUUCCAUGUGGCAGGUGUGAUUUCUGGCUAGUGAUCCAGAUUUUAACUUUAAUAACUUUGUUCUUGUUUUCAAGCUUGAUCUAUAUCUGUCUAAAUGAUGACAUGCGUGCAUGUUCCAGGAAUCAUGAUAUUACUGCAAAGAAAUCAGCCUAUGUGUCAAACUUAUGCACAGUUUAUGUUGUCUCAAAAGGAGUAUAUAUUCUUUCAAGAGAUAAAUUAUCAUCAACACGGAGACACAGUUUAUGUUGUUUUGAUCUUAGUCUUUCUCUUUGUAAACAUCAUUAUGAUGUAAUAAUAUAAGUCUACCUUUUUUACAUAAAAAUAAAAUAGUGCAUUGAAAAUGUAUUUUCAAUGCAACCCAACGGUGUAAAGGGGCACUAGUAACAAUAACAUCAGAAAGAAGAGACUAUGCAAAAUGAACAACUAAGCAAAAGCAACCAUUAUUGCAUAGGGAUGCAAUGAGAGUACAUAAUUUAAGUUCAAGAAUCCGACCAUAUAUUUUAACUAAGAAAUAUAGUCAGAAUUUAGUUCAAGACAAGAUGGAACAUAAAUUAACAUCACAAGUAACAGCUAAGAUGAGAUAACUUGCAAAGGGAUCAAAACAAGAUUGGAAUACAAGAUUAUAUUUCUCCUCUAUAGCCACCAGAGCCAAAAUAGUCUUUUCUAGAGUUAGAUAUGGCCACACUCUUCUGGUGCUCAAGUUUUGGACAGUCUCGAAUACGAUGUCCAAGACCACCACAAUACGCACAACCCUUGACACCACUUGCAUUCGCAAUGGUCUCUGCUUCUUCCAUUGGAUCAUUCAGUUCAGCAAGGACAGGUGGAAUCCUCUGUUUAGCUUCUUGCAACAAGUGUUUCAAAUCGAGCAGCGUGGUUUCGCUUUGGUUCUUGUUUAUAAAUGUAGUUGCUAUCCCAGUUUUCCCACACCGACCUGUUCGUCCUAUCCUAUGCACAUAGUUCUCAAUCUCUGCUGGCAUGUCGUAGUUGAUUACGUGUUGUAUAUCAGGGAAAUCUAGACCCUUUGAAGCAACAUCAGUCGCGACCAACACAUCUUUUUUCCCAGCUUUAAACGAAGAGAUUGCGUACUCUCUGUCUUCUUGAUCUUUCCCUCCAUGGAUGGCCACUGCUUCCACUCCUUUCAGUAACAAGUACUCGUGAAUAUCAUCAACAUCAGCUUUGUUCUCACAGAAUAUUAAAACCGGUGGAGAUGUUUUCUGUAGACACUCGAGGAGGUAAACAAUCUUUGCUUCUUGUUUGACAUAUUCUACCUCCUGGAUCACAUCGAGAUUCGCAGCUCCAGCUCUUCCUACAUUAACAGUCACAGGUUUCACCAGAGCACUUCUGGCAAAGAUUUGAAUCUUUGUGGGCAUUGUGGCUGAAAACAAAAGUGUUUGACGUUGAGACUUAAAGUGGUCAAAGACUUCCCUUAUGUCAUCUUCGAAACCCAAAUCAACCAACCUAUCUGCCUCAUCUAGUGUCAGGUACCUAUAAUAAGGAAAAAAGGAAGGUAAAUAUUAUUGCCAUCUAACAUUCUCAAGAUUUUGAAAUUAAAUGGCACAACCUCAAGACUCCAAAGACAAGAAAGAUGCAUUCAGAAAGGAACACAAGUGCGGAAAAUUUAUUCAUGAGAGAAAAAACCCUAUCGAAUCAUACAAUAGAGAACAUAUAGAGCAAAGAAGCUCUAAGCCACUAACAGACCCUAGACAAUUCUAUUGAUCUCUCCCGUUUCCUAGGCACAAUAAACCAAAAAGAAACAGAUAUCCUCAAGAAUCUAGCCAAGUGCAAAAGGUCAGAAAACGAGAAUAUAAGAUCAAACAAGGCAGCACAGAGAGAAGACGCAAACAUAUAUUACAAUCAGGUUGAUUAAUCAUAUUGAAAAGAACCAAAGAAGACGAACUAGAGUCAUACCUGCAAGCAUCUAAGCUCAUCUUUUUCUUGGCGAGCAUAUCCUUUAACCUCCCAGGGGUUGCAACAACGAUGUGGACACCUCUCUUGACAACCUCCAACUGGGAUCUCAUAUCAAUUCCACCAAUACAUAGCAACGACCUCAAUGGCGGGUAUCCAGCCUCGACCAAAGGAGCCACAAACUGCUCAACCACUUCAUAAGUCUGCCUAGCAAGCUCUCUAGAAGGGCAAACAAUAAGCCCAAUGGGACCUUCUCCCGCAGCAAUAGGCAUCAUCAUCUCUUCUUGGAGAGCAAUCAUGAUCAUGGGAAGCACGAAAACCAAAGUCUUUCCAGAACCAGUAAACGCAAUCCCAAUCAUAUCCCUCCCAGCCAAAAUCACAGGAAGACCCUGAACUUGAAUAGGAGUAGGCUGCACAAUUCCUUUCUCCUUAAGGGUAUCAAGAACAGGUCUAGGAAACUUCAUAUCCUUAAAGUUCUUGAUAGGAGGAGGAAUAUCAUCACCAUUAACAAUAAUAUGCCAUUGCUUCCUAAUCAAAUCUCUCUGCUUAUUCGACAUCCUCCUAAUAUGCAAAGGAGGUUUCCACCCGGUUAAGAGAGGCUCUGUAUAAGUGAUACCUUUGGCCAAUUCACGAACAGACAUAAGCGUCUUCUUAUCAGAUAAAUGCUCCAUCAUCUCUUUCUCUUGUAAGAUGAUUUGCUCAGUAGCACUAACUUGAGGAACAUCUCGCUUGAGCUGAGUUGCUUGAACGAGUAAACUAGGUUUAGCUUCAGCGAGCUUUUCCUUGUCAGCUUCUUCCUCCAAUUCCGAAGCUUUUCCCUUCCGUUGAAGUAUCUUCUGCGCUUCCAUUGCUCUCCGCUCCGCCACUGAAACAUACUCAACGUAACUAUCGUCGUCUUCCAUGAUGGAUUCAAUAUCGAGAAUUCAGCAACCUAGUAGAAGAGCCUCAAAGCCUGAAAUCAACAAAUUUUUGCAGAUCUCUCGAAUCAAUCGCUAAUACGGGUGACACAGAGGCUCAAAGACAAACUUCAAGACAGAAGCUAAUUAACAAUCAUCAUAAUUUAUGAAAGAACUUCAAGACAAAUUUAAUGUAGAUGUCAAAAAGAGAGUAGCUCUAGCUUAAUUAUUUACCUGCUGAAGUAGCUCUAGGUUUGUCAAACUCCACAGUCUGAAGUAGCUCUGAGAAAAUCAUACUCUGAUUGGUCUCCUGAUAUAGAAGAUGGACUUCUUUCUUUAGAAUCUGAAACAAAAAAAACAAAUCAAUCACAUGAAUAAACCAGAAGUGUCAGGUAAUAAGUUCCAAUUAUUAUCAAUGGGCUAAGUGAAAUACUAAACUGAACACAGACUUCAAAAUUUUCCAAUUCUCAUCAAAGUACCAAACGAGAUAAUUAUUAGAUUCAGACCAAACCACAGAAGAAGAAUAGAGUUCACUCAUAAAAAGAAUAACAAUGCCAAUAAGAAGAAUAACACAGAAGAAAAAGAGCAUUCAAAUGAGAGUCUCUGAAACUAAGCUAUCACAUGGAGUAACUUUGCUAAUUAGAGUAAAAGAAGACGCAGGAACUUGCAAAAGAAUUGUUACCAAAAAAAAAAAAUUACAAAAGAAGACACAGAUAUCUGCUUGAAUAUUUGCAGAGAGAAACCAAACAUAUCACAUGAUUAAAGAAUAUCUAUACUAACGUUCAUGAUACUAAUCUCAUUUCCAUACUAACGAUGAACUAUAUUUUACACAUAUCUUCUUCCUUCAUAUAUAUACUAAUCUCUAUACUAUUCUAAACUAAAGAUGAACUAAGCCAAUUUUGCUCACAAACCCAGAAAACCCAAAACCAAGCUCAAAGAGCAACGAUUUGAUGCAGAACAUGAAGAACCAAGUUCAAAAUGUAAGAAAUUAAAACCUUGGAAAGAAGAAGGGCUUAUUAAGAUAUGAGUAGGAACUAGCUUGGAGUUGUUGAUGUGUUCCGAGGUUAAACUCUGAAUCUCAUUCUUCUGAAAUUUAACAAAGAAUCAGCCAUAAGCCAAAACUCAAAAAACCCACAAUAGAGAUUAGAGAGAAAAACCCAGAAAGCAAAACCUUAGAAAUCAAUUUUGAUAUUGCAAAAGGGAAAAUUAGAGAAAUUACUUCGACUUUGGCUGGAGGAGGAGUAGAGGUUUCCGGUGAUGGAUCUUCGGCUUGGAGUGAUGAUUCCGGAAAAGAAAGAGGAAGUUCCGGUGGAGUUUGUACUGUGACGAAUCGGAGAAAGCAUGCGACGAAUCGGAGAAAGGUUCUCUUUUGCCUCCGACGACGAAUCUGUGAUGGAGGAGUAAACAAAACUAGCGUUACGAAUUUGGUAAUUAUUAACAAAACAUAAGGGCAUGGACGAGUAAACAAAACGUUUCCAAUCGCAUCACCAAUUUACCCUGCGAUCACAAAUUUCAGUCGCGGAUCACAGCGAUUGAUCGCAGCGUUUAGUUGCAGGUUCCUGCGACUGCUAAACGAACAACUUUCAAUUGCAGUUGCAGUGAGUGCCAAACGAACAGCCCCUACAAGCCCAAAUAGUUCUUACUUGUCGGGCCGUUCCGCGUUUUUGUGGGUGACUGGCAGGUACUUUUAGAAAAAAAAAAAGUAUAUUUUUUAUUUUUUCGAAAACAUCUAUGUAUUCACCUGUCAGAAAAAAAAAAAAGAGAAUAAUUGCUUUUCUACUGAAAAGUCAAAAAGCAUAGUAAAAAUGAAAAUUUUAUCCCUCUUCAAAAUAACUAAAGUAAUGUUUUCAUCUAAAGUAACGUUUUCUUCUCUAUUUCUUCUUUAGAAUUCUACUCAUUUCUUCUCAUUUUUUUACCAGUCAAACCUAAUAUAUUUUAGUAAUAUUUUUGAGAAAGUUUUUUAGAACAAAACUCAUUUUAGAAGUAUUUAUGAGAUUAAAAAAAAAAAAAGGUAUUUAUGAGAAUUGCCCACAAAUUUACUCAAUUUUUGGGUUUUACUUUAAUAUUAUUUCACUUUAGGGAAAAGUUAAUUAACAACGGUCUUCAAUUCGUGCAAAGUCUUCGACCGUGUCCCCAACCUUCUCGAACUUCUCUUUGAACCUCAAAUAAUCUCCACAUUUAAAAGACCGAAAUAUCCUCAUAUCCUCACAACCUCCCACCACUUCCUCAGGGUCAAAUACGACUUCACCGACGAGGGGCACGGUGAAUUUUGUUGAGCAUAUCGGCGAUUCUCCCUGAACCAAUCAGCGACUCUCUUUCACUCGAUCUGAGUCUUUUCUUCACCAAAUCGGCGUGUCUCUUUCACCAAGUAUUUCUGAUGGUACGCAUGUCUUUAUCAUACUACGAAUUCUUGUGUAUUUGAAUAUAUAAGAAAUUAGGGUUUCUGUGAUUUUAGGUAAAUUAGGGUUCUUUGUUGUUAGUAAAAUUAGGGUCCUUUGAAGACAAAUAGGGCAUGAUUGUGGUUACUUUUAGUCGAUUUUAGGCAUAGAUUGUUUGUGUCGAUUCAUCUUUUAGUUCGUUUAUGGAAGCCCUUUUCCUCUUCUGUCAUUUUUGUUGUUAAUUGGAAAUUAUAUCUACUUUAGGAAGAUCCUCCUGCUAAUAGCUAAAAAUGUAGCAUCUUAUUAUAUAAAGUAUGAUUUUCAAAGUUAGUAAUUCAUAGGAUCGUGACACGUGUCAAUUUCAUCGAUCUCAGAUUUUGAUAUGUGUUAAACAAAAAUUUCUUCUUUUCUUAAAAAUAUAUAUAAACAAACUAUACGCGCAUGUCAAAUUUAUUGAUAUCAGAUUUUAACACGUGUAAAACUAAAUUUUUAUUUAUUUAGAAAAAAUAUAAGAAAAUAAUACGUAUACAUCUUAUAUAAAAUAAUUCUAAAAAUCUAAAGAAGAUCAUUAUUAGGAAACUAGAUGUAUCUUAUUAAAUAAAAAUAGAAAUCUAAGACAAAAAAAUAUAAGGCAACCAUACAUACAUAUCUUAUAUGAAAUAAUUUUUAAAAAGUAAAGAAGAUAAUUAUAAGGAAACUAUAUGUAUCUUAUUAAAUAAAAAUAGAAAUUAAAAAAUCAUUUACUAAUUCUAAUUUAAAGCUACUAAAGAUUGAUUUUCAAGGGUUUUAAAUUUAAAUUUUUAGGUUUGGGUUGAUUAUUUUAGAUUAAAGGCAUAGUUUUAGGAGGUAGGGUUUACCUUUAAAGGUUGAAAGUUUAAUUUUAGUUUUGUGGUAUUUGGUUUACAAAAAAAAAAAAAAAAAAAAAAAAGUUUUUUGGUAUUUUUGGGAAAACCAGAAAUUAAAUGAAUUAUUGGGAAUAUUAAACUAAUAAUGAUAGUUUUGAAAACCAAAACUUAAGUGUUUUAUUUUUUAGAAUUGUACUAUACUUUUUAUUCGAAAUAUUAUUUUAGUUAAACAAUUCUAAUUGUUAAACAAACUAUGUAAAAGUGAAAGUAAAGAAACAUGAGAAGAAACAUACACUUUGUUUAUUGUGUUCAUAGAGAUAUUUUUUAGGUGGUAGCAAAUAGCAGAUUUCAACAGUAAAAUAUGAUUGAGUCUAAAAAAGAUAUUUUGAGUGGUAAGCUAUUAAAUUGUAAAUAGAUGUAAAUAAGAUGAAGGUUUGACCUGUGGUUUAUAUGUAAAAUAUUUUCUGCAAAAUUUUUGGAUUCAUAUUCUAGGUCUUGGCAAAAUUUUUGGUGAAUGGUAAUUUAAAGUUACUUUAUUAUUAUAAUAAAUGUACCAAGAAAUUCAAACUAUAAUAAUGCAAAUAAGUGUAUUAAGGCAAAAGAUGAAUAUAUAAACAAAUCUUCUAUCUAAUUGAAAAUUUAUCUUCUUAUUUCUUAAAAUAGUUUCUAUUUUUUUUUUAACGUCGUGCAUUGAAUAUCAAAAUGAAACCGAGUUUGAUGACAGAGAAAGAAAAAGCUCAAAAACAGAGCAAAACGAGAAGUAAAAACAGAGCAAGACAAUAGCGUGAAUAAAAACUCGACUAAGAUACCGUCGGUGCAAGAUAGACGAAGGAUUGAGACUCCGUGAAAUGGUUACGUGCAGCGUCUCCGUUCCUCCUCAAUUAUGUUAUGAAGCCAAGCUGGUCCUCCUAUCGCCAUGUAAGAGUUGAAUCGACCUUCUCGUGUGACACUACAGGCAAUAUCCCUGGCCAAGGAAUUGGCUUUCGGUGAAGAGAUGUGAAAAGAAAUAUCCCGCAUCACCUGUACUACCUGAGUAAUUUUGCUGAGAAUAGAUCGAUAUUUUGGCCAAUCUUUCGGUGUAGCUAACGCCCGUAUCGCUGCUGUGCAAUCUGACCAAAUCUCACACGAUUCCACAUGGACUUGAUGUAGACUUUGUAGACACCAUAAGAUGCAAUGUAACUCCGCAGCCACCCUGUUAAACAUGGGAAGAAAAGCAUCUCUAGCGUGUAAGACCGCAUCACCAUUAUGAUUACGUAAUAACCAUGCUCCUCCGCAAUGAAAAAUAUCUUUUAUCCAGGAGGCAUGCACGUUACACUUUAGCUUUCCACUCGCUGGUCUACUCCAUCUUGUUGCGAAAAAUAGUUUCUAUUCACAAUAAAAAAAAUUAAAUAUAUCUAGUUUUUGUUAAAUUUAAUUUUAUUUAAAAUUUUAAAAUCCGCACAUCGGGCGGAUCCUUAUCUAGUUUAUUAUAUAUCACUGACUUGAACUAACUUUUUCUAUCUUUUUUUGGUGGGCAGUGUCUUCGAACGCUUCAUCUCCUCGUCAUGGUAGCCAGUUACCUGACUGAAGCAUGCUUCUUUCUGGUAAAAUAUUAUUAUUUUUGAUAAAAUUUUACUAUUUUUGGAUUAAAAGUUAAUUUUUAUAUAUUUUAAUUAUUUUUAAAUAUAUAUUUAACGGAUUAGAUAUCCGACAAAUAGUCUGGAUUUUUACGGAUAUUCGAACAGCCGGAUAUCCGAUCACUAACGAAGCAAAUACGGAUCAGAAAACUAAUUAUUCGGAUAAAGCAAAUCGGAUCACGAAUACCACCAAAAUUUCGGAUAUCCGUUUUGUGCCCAAUCCCUACGAACCAUGACUAAUUUAAUACAAGUGAUGAUGAUUAUAUAUAUAUAUAUUUUUUGGUGCAUGCAUACAUUAGUUAUUUUUAUUUUAUAAAUUUAAUUUUUAUUUGGGAUAUAUAUUUAACCAUAUAAUGAAUCAUACUUGAUGUACCUGCAAAACAAAUUUCAUAGUUUCUGAAACGGAGCAACGUUGACAUUGCAAAUGUUUCGGCUUCUCUCUUUCCCUCUUUUAUGUCUAAGUGCAUUUUCACAUAUGUAAAUGAUCACUUUAUUUGUUAGUAUUCAUUGGAUUGUGUUGUUGCCAAAAAACGGACAUUGUCACAUAUCCCUUUAUAUUAUAAGGAAGACAAAGGACGUGAGGACAAGAUAUAGAGUCCGAGGCUAUAUCAUGCGACCAACUAAAGUCAAAAAUCAAGAGAAAUUGGAAAUUUGUGUAUCUCAUUAUAUUUUAGCAAGGGCAAAAAAAAAAACAAUUGAAAAUAUGGAAAAAUGGAUAGAAAAACCCUUACCUUUUCUUAAAAACAUAUAAAAAACCUUAACUUUUUUUGUGGGUUUUUAAACCCCCACCUUUUUAUAAAUGGUAAUAUAAACCCUAUUAUUCAUAAAGUCAAUUUAAAUUCAAACAAAUCAUUAUAUUAUAAUAUAAAUAUAUAUAAAUAAUUUGAUUUAGGAUUUUCUAUUCUAAUGUUUACAAUCUUUUUUUUAAUUGAAAUUUUUUAAAAUCAUGAUGUAAGAAAGUUAAUUAAUGAAGUUUUAUUCGGCUGUAUUACAAAAAUUCAUCAACAUGAAACUAAACAAAUUUUGUUACGAGUGACAUAUACAUUCUUUUACCUAACCGAAUAUGAAUUUAUUUUAAUAAAUAUUUAUUCGGUUCGAUCACACAAAUUGCUAACGUGAAACCAAAACAAAUUUUAUAAUACUACGAGAAAAGUAUAAGAAUUUCCACAUGAAAAUAUUUUCAUCAGACAAAGAAAAUAAAUAAACAUUUAUUAGCAGUUAAUAUUUCUAUAUAAAUUAUGAUUUAUUUAAAAUAGAAUUGAAAUAAUUUUAGUUAAUCAUUAUUUAACUAUAUUUUUCUCCAAAAUUGAACCUCCAACUGAAUUUUGUUAUAAUUUUGACUAUUUCUUAAAAUAAAAGAUGAACAUCUCAAACAAACAAAAAAAAAAUCAAAUGUGGUAUCCUAUAAAUUUUUGUAAUUUAUAUAACAUAACUUCUAAUGGUAACAAAACUGAUUUACCUAAUCUCAACUAUAUGGUGAAUGAACUUUUAUAUCGCAAAAACCCUAAUUUUAGAAAGAAAAAUAGCGAACUCGAAUUUGAAAAGAAUAAAUGAUAAAUUAAAUUAUUUUCCUUUAUUGUUAUUUCAGUAUAACGAUUUUAUUUAAAUUUAAGUUGAGUUUAUGAAUAUUAGGUUUUAUUUUACCACUUAUGAAAAGGUGAGGGUUUAAAAACCCACAAAAAAAGUUGAGGGUUUUUGAUAUGUUUUAGGAAAGGUGAGGGUUUUUCUACCCAUUUUUCCUGAAAAUAUAGAUCAUUUAUAUGAAUCUCAUUAUAUUUUAGUAAUCUUUAGAAUUAAUUCGUAAACUAACACCAAAAAUCAAGUGAAAUACUAUUACAUGUCUAGUUAAAAGAUGAAAAAUCCAUUAAAAUAUAGGGAGAGUUUACAAAAUAUACUCAAAUUUUAAUAUCAUAAAUCCCUAGUUACAUGUAAGAAAUAUUUUGCAUAAAUAAUAAUAAUUUCCAUAUGUUUAAAUAAUUUUUUUUAUUUAAAUGUUAGAUUUAUCACUAAAUUUUGUUUUCCAUGAGAAAAUUAUUUUGUAUUCCUAGAUGAUAUCUUAUUAUAUAAAAUAUGAUUUUCAAAGUUAGUAACUCAUAUGAUCGUACCACGUGUCAAAUUUAUCGAUCUCAGAUUUUGACAUGUGUAAAUAAAAAAUUUCCUUUUAUUUAGUUUUUAAAAAAGGAAAGUAUAAAUAUAUAUCUUAUAUCAAACAAUUCCAAGAAUCUAAAGAAGACAUUUAUAAGAAAAUUAUACGUAUAUCUUAUUAUAUAAAAAUAGAAAUUAUAAAAUUAUUUACUAAUUCUAAUUUAAGUUACUAAUUCUAAAAGAAAAAUACUAUUUUCUUAAAAAUAAAAAAGUAUUUAAGAACAUACUAAUUAUAAAAUUAAUUAAUAAAAUACGAUAAUUAAGAAAAUUAUACAAAAAAUUAUUAAUCUUAAAAGAAAAAUUAUACUCAUCUCUAAACAAAUAGAUUGUCUCCUAAUUUUUCACCAAACAAAAUAGUUUCUUCAAAAACACCACAACUGCUCCUAUUUAUUUAGUUCUUUUUUUUUUUUUUUUUUAUAUAAAUACAUCAUCAAUUAUUGAUAUGUGAUAUUUUUUUGAGAAAUUUCUUAAAAUACCACGCUUUCAAUUUUUUUUUUUUUACGAAAAAUACCACUAUUAGUUUAAUGUUCGAAAAAUAUCACACAAUUUUUUGUUUUUUUUUUUAAAAUACCACAAACACAAAAAUUGAUUUUCAAGGGUUCAAAUUUAAGUUUUUAUGUUUGGGUUGAUUAUUUUAGAUUUAAUGUAUAGUUUAUAUGGGGUUUGGUUUAGUAUUUAGGGUUUAGCUUUGAAGGUUAAAUUCUAAUUUUAUUUUUGUGGUAUUUUUGGGAAACCCAGAAAUUAAGUGGUAUUUUACAAUAUUAUAUUAUUAAGUGUGUAUUUUUGAGAAUUGUCAUAUAUUUUCAUUAUAAAUACUUUUUGAGUUAAACAAUUUUAAUGGUUAAAGAAACUAUGUAAAAGUGAAAGUAAAGAAACAUAUCAUUGGCUUAAUAUGUUAAUAGAGACAUUUUUUAAGUGGUGGUAAACUCAUGCAACACUAAAAUAUGAUUGAGUGUUGAAAAUACAUUUUGAGUGGUAAAUGUGGAUGUCGGAUUCACACACUCAAGUAUUUUUAUUAUAUAGGAAAGAUUAUUCUUGAGGGACAAAAAAUAAGAAUGUAAAAGGCUUAUGAAUUGCUACAAAAAUUGCUAUAGUAUUUCUCGCUCAAGAGAACCCUCCCUUUUUACAUGGCCAUUGGCCUUUAUAUUUAUACAUAGAAGAAUGACAUUUAAUGGGCUAAUUAAGUAUAAUUAUUCUCUCUUAAACGUGACCGUUUUGGUCUUUGACUUUAAUGAUAAACGUUCGAAUUUGAAUUGAUUCUGAUCUUCAUGGGCCUCGCCUUUUGGCCCAAAUGUCCUUGGACCGAUUUGACCAUGACUUCGUCUCCGGAGUGGUGUUGAGGUGCAGUCACUUCGGAUUCUCCUUAUAGUGAUAACCACUUCGACUGUUCUUUUGACUUGUGGAUCUAAUGGGCUUUAUCCUUUAUUGGCCGUUAUCCUGACUAGGUGGCAAUCUUUGGUUGGUUCCGAACAUUUGGUGCGGGAUCCGACACCAACAGUAAACUAUUAAAUUUUUAAAUAAAUGUAAAUAAAAUGACGGUUUGAUAUGUGGUUUAUAUGUGAAAUAUUUCAUGAAAAAGUUAUGGAAUCAUAUUUUAAGCGAAAUUGCAAACCAUGUUUCUUGAGAUUUAACAAUAAUAAUAACUAAUAUUUUGGCAAGUAUUUUGGUGAUUGGUAAUUUAAAUUAACUUGAUUAUUAUAAUAAAUGCACUAAUAAAAUUAAAAUAUAGAAAUGCAAAUAAGGGUAUUAAAGCAAAAAGAUGAAUAUAUAAACAAAUUUUCUCUUUAGUUAAUAAUUUAUCUUCUUAUUUCUAAAAAAUAUUUUCUAUUCACAAUAAAAAUUUAAUAUACAUUUUUUGUUAAAUUUAAUUUUAUUUCAUAAAUUUAAACCCGUACAUCGGGCGGAUCCUAAUCUAGUAUUAUAUAUUAUAGAAUAUAGUAUAUCUUGGAAUUGGGAUAUAUAUAUAUAUAUAUAUUGUUGGAAUAAGCUUGAAGAAAUAACUUGUGCGACAAGUUAUUUAUUAAAAGAAGAGAAAUGUUUAAGUCUUUAGGAUUUAUCUUGAAAUAUUGUUUAGGAGUUAUGUAAACAAUUGUUAGUUUGUAAGGUUUGAGAGAUUGAGAGAACUUGAGGGCUUAGUUUUGAGCAAGUUUCUAAAGCAUAAUAAGAAGAGAGUAAUUCUUAAUCCUUGAGUUCAUAUAUAAUCGUCUUAAACACUUGAUAUUUAUUCCAAGUUUUAUGUUUUGAACUUGAUUCAUGAUUUCAUGGUCUCCCUUCAAUAUUCUCAUUUGAAGUUCCAUGCAGAAGAAUUAUAUAUGCAUGGCAGAAUUAUGCGAGAACUUUACACUAUAUAUGAAGCAAGGUAUGGAAGAAUGAACAAAGAUCAAACAACCAACCGGCUGACAUCUUAGCACGAAGUGACAUUACAGAUAAUGCUUCUUUCUAUUAUCAUUACUACGUUCCUCAUAUAAUAUGUAAUGCUUUACAUUCAAACAAUGUAUCAAUUUACUACAAGAAAAAAUGAAUUUAGCGACUACACAAAACGUAACUAAAGAGUCGCUAAACCCAUAAUUACGACUGAUUGACGACUAAAACACGUUGUCGCUGAACACUGCGUCGCUAAAAUUAGUGGUAGGAAAACAGUCGCUAUUUAGCGACCAUUCCGCGACCACUGUUGGUCGUCGCUAGUCGAUCGCCAAACAGUCGCUAAUUUAGCUACUGGUUUGCGAUAAACAAGCCACUAAAUGGCGACUGGUUUGGCGACUGAAUUGGUGACUGAACUGCAGUCACUUUGCGACUGAUUAGAGGUUUAUUUAUCGUUUUAGCCUGCUAUUUUCGAUUCCAGUUACGCAUUUAUAAUCAAAACCAAACAUACAAAAAAUAACCUUGGAAUUAAAACAGAAAACAUAACAAACAUAAAAAUAAUACUUGUUCAAAACAAAACAUUAGUAGCAAGAGUACUUGUACCAUCACCACCAACAAACUUAACCAAAUAUCAAGUUCAAGUUUUUAAGUUGAGAGGAGAGAAAGCUAAGGGACAUUAGUAGCAGGAGUAGUAGCAGAAGUAGUAGGAGGGACCUCUGAAUGAUCAUCCGCAGGAGUUGAUUGAGACUUGAGGAAGGCCAAAAAAUUUGGGCCAGUUUCACUCAAGUACUUCUUCACCAUCGUCAAGUUUUUGAUCUCAGCUGUAACCCGCAAUGCCUCUGCUUCACGUUCUGCUUGUAGAGCUGCUUGUUCCUCUAUCUUGCGGUUAGCAUCCUCAAGCUGUGAUUGCAGGGUUGUGAAAGAAGAAGUGCUUCAUGGGUACUUACGCUUCCCGUUGAUGUAAACCCCUAAGCUUCCAACUCCAAAGUAUUCCCCUCUAUCAUUUGUGACAGUAGACGGCAUAACAAAAGAAAGAGUAUUAGUCCUUAACAUGAGAAAAAAACAACCAUAAAUAACCACAUAAUUACUUGAAGGAAGAUCUCAUCCUCCUCCUCUUGAGAUAGCUUAGAGCGACGUGAAGUACCAUCAGAUUGUUCAUCAUUCUCAUGAAGGGCAACCAACUUAGCUGCCUUGUUCUUAAGAUAUGCCUCACAGAUUUCAUGCGGCUUCCUAUCCACAAAUGUCCCAUCCUUCUUGGUAUGAGUCCUGAUGAACACUUCACCAAUAGUAGGCGGUUUUCCCAAUUCAACUUCCUCAAAUGUUGUAACAUAGAUGUCACAAUGUAACUAAACAAAACAAAUUUAAAACAGAUUUGUAACUUACCAUCUCUUGCUCUACUUGUAAGAAGGACUUCGGACCAAAUACAUGCUUGUGAGGACCAAGGCCAUUAUGGUCAGACAUUCUAGCUGCGGAUGUGGUUGAACUCUUUUCUAUGGCUUCUUCAGUGUCCCAAUAGUCACACAUCUCUUUCCACAGUUUUUUCUCAAUCUAAUACGGCUUCUCUCUUCUUGUCGCUGCCUUACUAACCAUGUCUUUCAUACGAAGUUGAAUGAUCUUAUAGAAUUUGGCUUCAACCACAAAUGAUCUUAUAAAAUUUGGCUUCAAUCACACAUGUUAGUGAGGGAUGCCAGGUGUGUUGUUUCUACAAAACAAGAGGAGAGUGAAGCAGAUUUUAGUGAUCAGAAAACCAAAACUGAAGUAUAAAUACAGUAGUAGAAGAGGGAUAGAAAUUUAAUGCAAAUUCGAGGAAGUCUCUUUCUCUUAUUCUAGUUUGCACACAGCUCCAACUGUAGUAUGAUCCAUCAAACUUGUUUGUAAAACACUUGGUGAUCUUCCGGGUCAGUUUACCAUUAUCCUAUCAGUGUUUUUUUAGUUUUCCUCGAAUAUUUGAGAAAGUUCUUUUUAGAAUUCGAAUCAGUCAUCAACCACACUGUCCAGCUUGCCAUCAAUACAAAAAUAUAUUAAAAAACUGGUCGUUACUAUAAAUAAUUAUUAUAUGUUUUGGAUAUUCUCAAUUUUUGAAUUUUAUGUUUAUCUGAGGUUAUUAAUCAGUUACCAACCAUUUAUUCUAUAUGUUAGACUUAUACGGAACUUGAAAUUGAUCACUAAGUAGAGUAAAGUUCAACAUGCCUCUUUGUUGGAAAAACGGCUUUUCAUACCUUAAUCUAAUAAGUAUGUUCAAUUCAUACAUUAACUAUACCUCUGUACAGAUACAUAUCUCAACUAAGAAAAAAUUCAAAUUUGCUAUAUGCCACCAUUUAUUUACUUCUUCUUCGUUUUUCCUCUCUACUGGAAUUACUAUUUGAGGAUUUUCCAAAGUCCAAGAUCCUUUAAUGGCGCCAUCAGCUUGUUCAUAUUAGCAUUUUAAUUUUCUUAAAGUUUCUAAAUUGUAGUUAGUUUAAUAGAUUUCGAACUUGAACAAUUGAAAUUCCAACUUGAACAAAUUCAUGAUGUAAUUGUAGAACUCUAGAUUUCUAUAAAUCUACAUAUUGUGAUUCCAGUAGAGAUAAAGAAGAAGGAGAAAUAAAUAAAUGUUGGAAACGUCGUUUUGUCUCAAAUUUUAGGUGUUUAAUUUGGUUAAGAUUUAAACGGUAUAGUUAAUGAUAUUAGCAUCUACGUAUGUUACAAUAGACAUAAUGUUAACCACAUCUCAGGAUAUGCAUGUUAUUGCACGAAACAAAAAGAUUAGGUAGUGAAUUUAAAUUUUUGCUUAGUUUGGGUAUGUAUCUGCACAAAAGUAUAGUUAAGGUAUGAAUUGAACAUACCUAUUGAGUUGAGGUAUGAAAAAGUCGUUCUUCCCCUCUUUGCCACUCUGAUUUUUGGCAGAGUAAUGAAGGAAAAAAAAAAGUAAUCUGGAAAUUAAAAAAUACAAUGAAUUAUACCAAUAUAACUUACAUUUUCUGAGGAUCUACGUCUUCGAGGAAACAAACACUCCCUCAAACCGGGCCUUGUGGCCUAGUGGUAAAGGGGUCACAGCUGUGACUUCCGCCACCGGGGUUCAAGGCACGGCCACUGGCAGGUUUACAUAGGGGAAUUGCCAGCCUCGUGGGAUUAGUCUUUGGGCCUAGGAAGCCUUUGGGAGACCCGCGGUUAUUCAAAAAAAAAACACUCCCUCAAGCUAUUGAUAUUCAUCAAAUUACAAGAGCUAACAAAGAAGCUUUGUUUAAUACCGAACUAUUUAAUACUUUUUUUAAUUAAUAAACUUGUAAAUAUCAUAUAGAAUGAAAUGUUUAGGCUUUACAAAAUAUAGACCUUAACCUUACUACUGUGGCAAAAAAAAGAAAUAAAAAAACAAGAGAGUUAAAGAACUCAUUCUAACCACAGUUGCAUUAAAUUAGAGAAUUUGUUGAGAUGUCUUCUAGCAGUAAUCGAGUUACGAACUACAUAAUUUAUUAGAAGACAAAAGUGCCAUUAAUCUACUUAAUGUAUUAAUCCUCUUAAUGGUCCAUAUUUUCUUGAAGUUCACUAACAACCCGUUUGCAAGUGACUCCCUCGUAAUCUACUUAAUGUAUUAAUCCUCUUAAUGGUCCAUAUUUUCUUGAAGUUCCAUUUGAGUAAAGCUUGAACCUCUCCACCAGCAAGAGUAUUGCCCACACAAGGGCUAUUUAACCCCAUGAUAUAAUCUGAAUUACGUAAUGAAAAUAAAAUAUGAAAAUUCAGUAACAAAAUUUAAAUAAUGAAUUAAAAAAUUACAUAUAAUAUUUAAAUGAUUAAAAUCGUACAAAAACGAUAUAUGGAACAAUAGAAAAGUACAUACAUAAUAAACAGAAAUCUAAAUUUACUAGUCUGGCAUCCGCAAGCUGAAGAAGAAUUUUUAAAUAACCUCGAAAUCUUUAGAUCGACUGUCAUCCUCCUCCUUCAUAUGCGUCAUCUUCUCAUUGCUUCACGGGAUCCUUCGUCGCUUGAAGCAAUUCUUGAGUCAUGGACAAGGUCGGCCCUGUCAUAAAGCAACUAAAGCACAAGCUUUAGGCCACUGAAUAUAAACUAAAUUUUAGGGCCACAUUUUUCUAAAUGUUAUAUUUGCUCAGUGGUUAUAUAGUCCAAAAGUUUAUUGUAGGUAUAGAAUUCGAAUCCCUUUGAAGUCACGGUUCCUUCUUUUUUGGGGUAAUAUUUCCAGCUUCUCUCUUUAAUUAUCUCUUUAUUCUUCUCUUCCCUCCAGUUUUUUUUAAUAGAUUUUAUUUGCUAAAGUGCUCAUGCUAAUCAUUUUCGUAAGAACAACAGAACUAAUUACUAUCGUCACUGUGAUAUUCAAUAUCAUAUAUAACUGUGAGAUUCAAUAUCUAUGUUUACGAAUCACGAACACGAAAAUGACAACAAUUACAUUUCUGUAUAUAUAUUUCUGAUUUAAUCUAUUAUUACUCGACUAUGAAAACCUAAUUAAUUACUGAAUUUGUUGAAGAAAAAAUUAGAAAAGUUUAUUUUUGUGAACGGAAAUAAAUUAGAUUGUCUUACGUUGUUAAUAUAUUUAAUGUUUUUUUUCAUCAACUAUAUCUGAUGAUUUACAAAAAAAAAUUAUAGUGUUUUAAUGUUAAUUUUUUAAUCAUUAGUAUAUAAGAAGUCCACAUAGUUUAAGCAUGCUUUAGGCCACAUAAUGUCAAGGACCGGCCCUGGUCAUGGAGCUUGCUGGAGUAAACGAGAAUGAUGUUACACAGCCCUCUGGAAUGAAGUCUAAGCCGUGUCGACGUCCUUCUUCUUUACAAAAACAUUCUAAUAUUGAAAACUAAUAAUUAAAACUAGUUACUUACAGAGAUAGAGAAAAUGUACUUACUGAUUGGUAGAGCUUCUCCAUAUCAGUUUUUGACACCUCCCUGGACUAGAUGGAGAAUGCAUGCGCCGCGCCCUUAGAGAGGAAAACCUAAGAUAACUGCUUGCCAACCUUCUUCUUGACAACCUCGAAGAUGGUCUACUAAAUCUUCUUGUCGAAGAUAGUACUAUUGGAAUUACCUCCUUAAAGUUACCUCUAUAAGGGUUUUAUGAGGAAAAAGUUCUCCAAAUUCAAACAAUUUUGGAUUGAUGUAUGUUUGGAGAUCUCUAUAUAUACCGCCUUCAUUGAUGUUGAAGCCAUUUGCUUUUCGUGAUGUGAUAUGUUCUUGUCUAAUGGGCCAAGUGUGUGGUUCAAAUUUUGUCACCCAUCUAAAAAGAAUGCACUCCUUGAUAAACAAAGCAAGCUAUGUAAGGAUAUAAUAGUACUCUGAUCGAUGAGCUCCUUUUCAUAAUUAUCGUAGAGUGACGGUAGAUUUAUCUCUUCGGACAAGUUUAUUUGGUUAAGGCCACAUUUCCAUCCUAACUUGUUUUUGGAGUUUAAUUUUUUUUUCGAAUAUUCCUUUUUGUUUUCAGUUUUAUAUUUGUAAAUUAAAGUUUCAUAAAAGAAAAAAGAUAAACACACAAUAUUAGUGGUUUUGUGUGGAUCAUCUACUCCGUUUUAGGAGUGUUAGAGCAUCUCCAACCCACAUCUAUAUUUAUCUCUAAAAUAGAGAUUUCUAUUUUUUUCUCUAUAUAUAGAGGUGGGAAUAGAGAAUCUCUAUUUUUUUCUCUAUAAAUAGAGUUAAAUUUUUUAGAGGAAAAAAUAGAGGAACACAUUGGAGUAAAAAUAGAGAAAAUUUAUCUCUAUUAUAGAAAUAGAGCUAAAAAUAGGGAAAUACAUUGGAGAUGGUCUUAACCAUCUUUUAUGAAUUAACUAGGUCCGGACCCGCACAUACGUGCGGGGUUUUAUAUUUUGAAAGAUGCGGGUUGAAUAUUUUUUGUAUAACGUAUAGUGAAAACGGGUCUAACAUUUAGUGUUGGAAAACGUAUGUAUGGGGUUUUUUGUUUGAUUGGUUAAAAAGAUUGGAAAGAAUAAUUAGUAAGAAUUUAGUAAUUUUGAUUGGUGAAUGAUUGGAUAUCUUGGUUUGGUUUUGUUGAAUUAUUGAGAAAGUUGCAAAAUUGGUUGUAAUAUUUGUGAAACGAAAUUAUUAUUCUGAGUUUUAUUGUAUAUUUUUAUUUCUUAAACUAAAAAAUGAUUUGUUUGGUGAAAUAAAAUUAUUGUUUGUAAUUUGAUGCAUAUUUCAUAAAUAUAAAUGAUUAUAAUUCAGAUAAAGGCCCGUUAAUGAUUCCCCUUUUAAUUAGGAUUGGGCUGGAUUUUUGAUAGACCCAUUUAGAGAUCCAUGGUUUCGUUUUUGUUUUUUAAUACAGAAUCAAAUGUUUUUUUUUUCUUUUGGACAGAAGUGAUUAUAGCACGAUUCUUUGUCUUAUGGUCUUCAAAGAAUGAAUCCCUAAAAAUCAGAAGCUUUUCCGAUUUCUCAAUCAAUGUCAAAAGUUUCGAUCAUCAAUCGAGUCUCUGUACAUAUAAUUUCCAUAUCAGAUUCGGAAUUUCUCCAAAGAGGUAAGGUUUUUAGAGAUUCUUCUUCAAUCAAUCUAUUUUUAUAAUCUGUUGAUUCAUUUACAAUCUUUGUAAUUCUGUGUUUCAACAGAGAUCUUGGGCUAUUACUGUGGGUAUACGAACUUGCAUGAGUAAGUAUUUUCAAUUAUAUUUGUUGUUUAGAUCCGUAAUUGCAUGUCUAUAAUUUUUGUGUUUAUUCGGGUAACUCUAUCUAUUAUCAAAAUCUUCUAUGCGUUGGAGUGAAAAGAGGCUAUAAUUUGAUUUUGUAUAGAUUUAGGCAAUAGAUUUUGUUUCCUAAUAUUUAAUUUGUUCCUAAAUUGAUUUUAGAUAAUGAUUGGAUGAUGAUUUUGUCUGAGGAAGACGAUUUACAAAGUUAAGCUUUCUAUUACAGCUCUUACAUAACAAAACAAUGUCUUAAUAUAUAUGGUUCUGAUUUUACCAAAUACAAUGUUUACAGAGAAGGCAAAAUAUUCGAGUUGAUUUCAAUCUGAGAAGACAAAUUUGAUGUCCUUUAGUAGCCAUAACGGAAUCUGGAAGCUAUUUUAAAGGUUAGAUUAUGUAAUCUCUUUCUGAAAUUGUAGAGUUGUUAUAUAAAACAUAUAGUUGUCAAUCUAUACUUUUAAAUAUUGAUAUUGCGUAGCUUAACAAUUAUGAGUACAAUAUAGUUUUUAGAAAACUUACUUAAAUUUAGGGAAUAUACUAAUUAAACUUUUUAUGGAAAACAGAGUAAAAUAGAGAUUAAAUACAAAAGAAACAAAUAGGGUAGGUUUAAGUCGAUUACAAAAGGAGUUUUCCAUACCUCCAAGGAAGUUUUUAAAAAGACAGAGUUCAUCUCCUCUAAAAAUGUAAAAAGAAACAACAUAAACUAAGAGAAACUGAAGUAACCUUGCAAAUCCAAUCCCUCCUUCCUUCACAUGUUAGUUCUCAUCAACCAUCUCCAUCAUCACAUCCUCUUCGUCACUUGAUCCAUCGUCGAAUGAUCGCCUGCAAAAAAACAUAUGCUUUAUGUUUACCUAGGCUAUGAAUCUCAACCAAAAUAUAAGCCAAUUAUAAGAGAAUUUUUAACUUACAGAUAACUUGGAAUGUCAAGUUCAUAAAAGAUUGGAUCAAUGUAUAGACGUGAACAGCCAUAUUCACUCAUUAAAACAUUGUUUCCUAUAGGAAAAAAAAAGAUUCAGUCAAUGUAACUAAUAAAAUUGUAAAGUCAGUUCAUAAAACUAUAAUAAGAACCAACCACAGUAAGAAGUUAUUCUCCAGAAACGCAAGACUGCAACAAUCUUAUCAUAGUUGUAGUUUAUUCCGCUUAUUUUCUGAGACCAAGUGUUCACAAAGAACUCACACCACUUUCCCACAGCUACGCAUUUUAUUGUCUCCCCCCUAGAUUAAAAGUUUAAUUUCCAAACAAAAGAACAGUCAAUCCAAUUUCUUAAAGUAAUUUAAGAACAACCAUUGAAAUUCUGUUAUAGAGGGUAAACUAAACUUACACAUUAUUUUUAAUUUUGAAGCAGACAUAGCGAGAUUCAUAGUCUGUUUCUCCUCUGCGACACACAUAUGGAAACCUUCCUAUGGUGGAAACAGCAGAGAUAACUCCCAUAGCAUCUAAGUAAAAAUUAAAGGAAAAUGGUCAUAUAAGUCUUCAUAUAUAAUAAAUCUUGGUAUAAAACAUUUAAUUUCACAAAUUAUUACCAAAGACAGAGUUUUUAUCAUCUUCAUGAGCAUUUCUGACAGUAUCAGGCCAAACAAAGUUCCAGUAAUUGUUCCAAGACUUAGAUCUAACAGGCCACAUGGUAGUUCCACUCAAAAACUUAACCUGAAGUGGCAUAGUUGAAUAUCUGACUUGGUUUUUAGGUAUGAUGACUUGAAAGUCAGUCAUGUAGUACCAAACGUCUUGUUUGAGUCCUCGCUGAAAGUUCCAGAGGUAGUAACCUUGUGGAAUUGUUGCGUCCAUUAAAUUCCCCUAUACAAAGGAAAGAAACAAAUUAGAUAAGUAGUUUUUCAACCCUAGAACAUGAUUUUAAAAAGGUGUAAAACAGAACAAUAGAAUUAGAAACAAACCUUCUCAUCUGCGAGAAUCAUUGUAGUUAGAUCACCAUUGAAAGGAGGAUUAUGAUGCCAGAUACUCAUUAUCUUAACACAAACCCUCCACUUUGUGGAAUGUCUUCGCAAAUCAGAGAGAAGGUGCAUUUUCUCCAUAGUUUCUAAAAGAUUUUGUUUUGCUUUCAACUGGGAAGAUAUCUCUGUAAAUCUAAAAUCUCUCAACGCAUAUAUAUAGAUAUAGAUAUAUUGGUUAAGAGACGCAAAGGAUUAAAAUAAAAAGAAAAGGAAACUGAAUCGUUAAUAGAAUAUAUAAAAUAUAAAAAUUUGAAAAGACUGAUGCAAAUCAUUGCUAAUUAUUACAAAAGGAUACAGUUUACAUUUUUCAAGAUACACCCAACGAUUUAGAUUUGCCUAGAUUGUAUAAACCGUCAAAUAUGGAAGUUUCUUUAGUUUUUGUUAUUCAUGAUAGAUUUUUUAUAUAAUAGAUUAUAUAUAAGUAAAAUAUAUAAGUAAAUAUGUACUUAAAUAAUAGUAUCGAUUUUUUGUAACAGGAUCUAGAUUUGCCUAGAUUGUAUAAACCGUCAAAUAUGGAAGUUUCUUUAGUUUUUGUUAUUCAUGAUAGAUUUUUUAUAUAAUAGAUUAUAUAUAAGUAAAAUAUAUAAGUAAAUAUGUACUUAAAUAAUAGUAUCGAUUUUUUGUAACAGGAUCUAGUUUUUGCUAUUUGUUAGUUACAAUUAUAAUGGUACUGAUGCUAGAUAAUUCUAUGUUUACAGACCAGGCAACAUCUUUAAAGAAGGCAAAUGUGAAAGCAAUGAUAAAGCUAGUCCAGCUUCUGAAAGCACUGAUAAAGGUUAGUGAGGUCUAAAUGAUUCAAGAAGUAUUUAGAUCCACAAUUAAAUAUGAAGUUGUCGUGAUGUGUUAAUUGUUUUUCGAAAAUGAUUUUACUAUAUUCUCUGUUGACAUGUAUGUUAAAUUCUGCAAUUGGUUGAUAAGAUAUUAAAGUAAUACUACUUGUUUAUAUGAAUUAACAGAAUAUUUAGAUUCUGUAUAUGUUUUUGGAAUUAGUAAACUUUUAAUAGUUUACCUUUUUGUACUUAAUAUGAUUUAAAUGUAAAUGAAAAAUUAUUUAAAACAAAGUUAUGCUGAUAUUAAUAAUCAAAAUUUCUGAAUCUAUAUUAUUAAAAGAGAAUUGAGAGAAUAACAGACCAAGUUUGGUAAAAUAAUCUCUUCAAUGGAAGUCGUAGAUUGAAGAGAUUACUACCAAAUUUCCAUUUCCAUACCAGCUUCUACCUGUUCAGACAACCAAUAAGAAAUUAGUAAAGUGUAACAGGUGAAAAUAAUAAUCAGUUUUUAUUGAUUGUUACCUCUUAAACCAAAUGUCUUUUGCAAUGUGUAAGCUUAUAGGUUCUGAAAGACUUCCUUAAACACCACAUUCAACGUUUCCUUGUGCGGCUUUCCUUCUUUGUCCACUAUGAGUAUCUUCAGUCCUUUUUUUGAAGUUACCCUUGAGAUAGCUACAUAGAGUUGGCCAUGAGAAAAGCAUGGCCUUGGUAGAUAGAUGCCAACCUUAUUCAACGAUUGUCCCUGGCUUUUAUUAAUGGUCAUAGCAAAAGCAACUGCUAUUGGAAGUUGUCUUCGACGCAUUUUAAACGGAAGUUUAGUAUCAGAUGGAGAUAUCAAUAUCCUGGGAAGGAGGACUUUAUCUCCGACUCUAUCACCUGUAAUAAUGACAGCCUCAAUGACUUUAUCACCCAUUUGUGUUAUUUGCAGUCUAGUGCCAUUCAUUAGCCCUCCUCUUGGAUCUAAAUUUCGUAGUAACAUCACAGGACAACCAACUUUCAACCUUAUACCAUGAUUUGGCAAUCCAGAUAUCUUUAGACCGUUCAAAAACUCUGAUGUCAACACGGGAUUAUUUGUACCUCCAAUAUCAGAAGGAUCAACAGAAUCUGAACUUAGGUAUAGUUGUUCAUCACCUACAAAUAAUUUAAAAUGUCUUUAUAAUACAUCAUAUCUCAAUGAAAUGCCUAAAAUAUUAAGAGUAGUGGAGACUAACCUUCGAGUUGAUCAAGCAUAUAAUCGUUGACAAUACCCACAUCUUCAUUGGUAGGACAUAAAAUAGCCCUUUGUUGGAAAAAUACAGGAUCGGUUUCAUCCUUCAAUAACUUAGGAUCUCCAUAAACUUCCCUGCUUAUUGCCUCAAUUGGAUUAUCAGCGUUUGUGAUCAAAAACUCUUUUGGAAUUUCUAUCAUCACUUCUCCAUCAUUAGGCUGUGCUAUCUUACCAUCACCAACUGCUAGAAUCCACUCUGAAAAUUCUUUUAUAUCCUUAGCCUCACUUGGACUCAAAUCCUUUGAAAGUAGCCUCAUAUUUUUCGUGAGUUUCAGAACUUUGCAAUGAUUCCAAAGAUAAGAAGCAUUAAGUGCAGCCAUACAAAUUUCUGCUCUCGAAGCACCAUGUAUCACAGGUAGUACUUGUCUGAAAUCUCCACCAAAAACAACUACUUUGCCACCAAACGGUUUGUUUCCACCACCUUUAAUAAUGUCUUUGAAACUCCUAUCCAUAGAUUCAAAACAAUGCUUACUCAUCAUUGGAGCUUCAUCCCAAAUUAUCAAAGACGCUUCUUCUAUUAAUUCUGCCUGAUUUGAACCUUUCUCAAUAUUACAUACAGUGAAGUCGUCUGGAUUUAUUGGAAUACCAAACCGAGAGUGCGCUGUUCUCCCACCAGGUAACAAUAGAGAAGCAAUGCCGCUGGAAGCCACAUUUAGCACAAUAGAACCUCUAGAUCUUACAGAAGCUGAGAGUGUCGUAUAUAUAAAAGUUUUACCAGUUCCACCAAAGCCAUAGACAAAGAAGACACCUCCCUUGUCAUUAUCAACAGCAUCGAUGAUCUCUAAAUAAACACUCUUCUGCUCAUCUGUCAUUUUCUGCAACGAUUCUUCAAGUUUUUCCUUCUGUUCAUUGCUAUCGUAGCUUUUUUCAUCAAGUAUCAAGACAUUACUAUCAUCAAUUUCCUCAUCAGGUAACUGUGGCAUUGUUCUGAAAGCUGUUAGAGAUGUUCCAUUGCUUCGUAAGAUGCUGUUGAUUUCUUUUAAAGCCAACAUCUGUUUUUGCUCGUCCGUAAGUGUUAGUUCUGUGUCCCAAAAAUAUGUAAAAAAACAGUGUUAUUUGUAAGACAGAAUAAUCAUGACAAAAACUACUUAAAAUUGCAAAGUAACAACUCUUUAAACCAACCAAAGAGACUAAAUUAUUUGAUCAAAAAUUACCUGGUCUUUUAAAGUACUCUCUCCUUUUUCUUUCGAUGUCUUCUGAUAGAAGUUCCCAUGUUUUUUCCCAAACAACUUCUGGUUGAGAUAAGCUGGUAGACUGGAGCAUUACAACAAACAUACAACGCAAGUAGUUUCCAGUAGCCCAAAAACUGGUUGUCUUUAUUGUAUCAAUAUACUCCUGGUCAUCGUCAAGCAAACCCAGAGCAUAACAUGCCUCCUUGAACGAUUUGUACACCACGCCAUUCACUGUUUUGAUGUCUUCGAAACUUUCAGGUCCAGUUUGAUGAUUUAGAAGCACUCUUAAAUAAUAACCUUCCUCAUAAAUAAGUGGGACAUAAUUAAUCCUUCCGAUUGUUUUCCCUGGUCGCUUCCUCAUAUUGAAAGUUCUUGUUUUACCAUCCCAAGUAUAAUAUUCCGGAAUCUGAGUAUAUGUUAGAUCUUUGGCUUUAGGACACCGCUUGUUCAAUUCAAACCAAGCAAGAAACAUCGAAUUCUGUAAUUCUGAUUUUUUCAAAACUGUUUUCACCUCAUCAUCACCUUUAAAAUAUAAUAGUUGUUUGCCUGGUAGAUGGAAGGAUAAUCUUUGAACAGACGUUGACCUAUAAUGUAUAGGAUUUUUCAAGAUUCUCCAUCCAGCUUCACAUGCUGAUACAUAUCUGAUACAAUAUCAUAAAACAUGUAUUAGUUAGAAAUGAGUUAAGCAUCUAAACUAUUUACCUAAAUCCAAGUAGAUUUUAUACCUGCAAUUAAAGAAGUCUUGUAUUUCAUUUUUACUUGUGCCCCCACUGUUUGAACUAUCAGACUUCUCUGUAGUAGUUGUAGUCUUUGUAGACUUUUCAUUAGGCUCAACAACUACUGAAACUCUGUCCAUCCCUUUAGUGAUAUACUUGAAUAAAUACUUGAUAGAGCCAGUUUGGUUACACCACUCAACAUUAAUAUGAGCUCUGUAGCGAAGCAGCAACUUCUUGUUAUAGGGUAUAACAUAUCCGUUGUCACACCUAAAUCCACACUUCUCCACAAACAGCUUUGUCUUUCUUCUUCUGUACAAAGGGAAACCUUCUUUAUCAACUUUAGUAUGUUCUCUAAGUUUUUUUGGGAAAAACUUAGAACAUUUCCCUUCAAGCAUACAUGGUGAAUUCUGGUUGACGACGCCACAUGGUCCAUGAAUCAUCAUGUCUUUUACGACCUCAUAAAGUUCUGGUUCUUUAGUCUUGUCAGGAAUUUCCGCAGAAAUGAUUUUAUCAAUGUCUUCUGGUUUUGGAAACUUAGAACUUGGAUGCAUCCAUAUCAAUAUAUGUGCAUGAGGAAGACCUCUUUUCUGGAACUCAAUUGUAUACAUUGCUGCGAGAACAACAUGAGAUAAUAAUAUUAGUUAAACGACAUUUAGAAAAAUAGCAGAAACAGAUAAUUAAAUUAUAGACUGUUAACGCAACUAUUAAAAUAAAUCACUUACAUGAAACAGUCUUCCCCAAUAUAUGUUUCUUCGUUAAAUCAUCCAUUAGAGAAUUCAGCUUCAUUUUGAACAUUCUGCUUAUGAUCUCUGGCCUAUCAUCGGAAUUACAAUUUCUAUCAGUACAAAAGCUUACCAGCUCAGUCCAUUUUGGAUUGCAUGUGAACGUAAUGAAUAGGUCAGGAAAUCCAUAAUGAUUACAUGUAGACAUUGCAUCCAUGUACAUGUUCUUCAUGUAUCUUGGCCCACCAACAAAAGUAGCUGGUAGAUAAAAUGCUUUUCCUUCUUCAUUCAUAUCUGUCUUUCCUGCUGUUGCCGCCUCUUUAACUGAAUCAUAGUUAGUAGCUCGUAAACUUGACUGAUUCAGUUUAAUAUAUUUGAGCCUAUUAGCUUCAAUGGUGGUAUAAGCAUCAACCAAGAACUGCUGGUACAACCGUUUGGACCUUAGCAGGAUACUUUGUUCAUUCUUUCUCUCUUGUAUACGAUACGCAUACCAUUGACGCAAACUUAUGCAAUCAUUCUCCUCAGUUCCUUCGGGCUUGUUUUUCUUUUUACCAUGGUUAUUCCCUUUCUGAAUACCUGUCCUAUAACCAUCUUCACCCUUUGGAAACAAUAGAGGGUAUUGUAGAGCAAGAUAACAUGGUUCUAUUUCACUGAUUCUUUGUAAAUACCCAGAUUUUUCUUCAAUAAUAAUGUCACGACUUGGCAUACCAAUGUGAAAAUCACCUGGAAUCAGCGCUGCGACCUCCGAAGCUGUUGGCACUGCAUAUGUUCUUCCAUCUUUGACACGGUCACUCACUAUUUUCAUAUGAAAGCUCUGUUCAGGAUUGGUAUUAAACCUAUCACGAGCUUGUCUAAAAUGAGCAACGUAUGGAUUAACUUCAUUUAGCAGCUUUAUUAUCGCCUCAAUUAUUUCUUUUCUCAACUCUGACUUCUUCUUAUAUUUCCCAGCAGAUUUUCCUUUGCUGAAAUAUUAAUUUAGUUAGCAACGACACUAAUACUUACAGAAAAAAACACAAAGUCUGGAUACUGUGAUGGCUUGUUUUGAGUUAGAAAAUGUACCUUAAAAUUCCUGCUCUGUUUUCAACUUCAUUCUCUGUGUCAACUAUAUAUAGCUGACUAAACUUAGGAAAUUCACCUUCUCCAGGUUUCAAACUUCCCAUCUGGUGGUAAUUCUCUCCUUGUAUCUGAAACAUAUUAGGACCCCUUCCCGCUGUAACAGAAUUAUCACACUUACCCCCAAGAGAAGUAAAUGAAAAAAUCAUGUUAUAUGCUCGGAUGUUCUCUCUAAAGUGUCUACUCAUGUCAUCAUCAUUGGUUAGCAAAGCAAAUAACAGUUCUGGUUGAUUAUGGAGGAAAGGCAGUUUCACAGAUCCUUGCAGACAACAUUGAGUAAAAAUUGGUUUACGAACUUUCUUAUGUCUGUUGAUGCGUUCGCCAUACCACAUAAUAGCACCGCAGUAGGAACAUGAGUAGACAGGAUCUCCAUGAUCUAGAUACUCUACAAUAACGGGAAUAAGUUUAGCAUAAGUAAAGUUUGUGUAAGAAAAGAAUUAGAAAUAAACCAAUGAUGUAGUACCUGUGUUUUUGUUCUUUCUGAUAGAAACAUUAGGAGUUUUUAUUUCUCCAAAAGCUUUGGUCAAACUUUCAUCUAACAUUGAUAAAAACUCAUAUCUUUGUUUGACUUCGAUUGGGAUAUCGUCUAUGGUUUCAUAAUCUUCAGAUGUUUCUGAAUCAUUUUCAUCGAUGGUACUCACUAUUUAAUUGAAACACGAUCCAGCCCUUUAGUGAUAAACUUGAAUAACUUUUUGAUAGAUUGAUUUUGGUUGCACCUACUAACAUUACCUGAUCAAUAGAGAGGUCAUUACGUUGGUCAGUCUGCUGGUCAGAAUCUUCAAUAGUAUCUAGAUUGUCAGAUUCAUUACCCAGCCAAACGGUUGAAACCUUGUAGGUAUCAUCAGUUUCAUUGAUGUUUUCCUUUCCAACAGUCACCAGAAACUGGAAAGUCUUUCCAACCAAAUCUCUGAUUGGCUGAGGCAAGUUUGUAGGAUCCUGAAUCUGUUAUGAUAGAUUGAAAAAAGUAUAUAAGAUAUUUGAAUAAUAUGGUCUAUAUACAUAUUAACAAUAAAUUUGUUUACCUCAUCCCACUUCCCUUCCAGCAAAUCCUCUGCAGACACACCGAUUAUCUCUUGUGCACUUUUAUCAAAGAUAAGACAUUUAGUGUCUCCAGUGCUAUCCAUCACUCCAACGUUUAAAAGAUACCUACAUAUCAAAGGAACAGGAAAGUAGAUUAUGUACCUAGUUAUUAUCUGACAAAUGUAGAUAUAUAUUAGCAAAUCUCAAAGUCUUACCUUGGUAUCACCUUAGGAGUGUCUUCCUUACAUGUUGGACACCAAAACAUUUCUUUCUUGCCUUUCUUGACAAUCUCAUUUUCAACCUUUGGAAUCUUAUAGGCAGUUUUGCUACACUUGAGGCAACUAAAGAAAUACCAAGAAUAGUCUGUGUCGAUAUUCAUUAUGGUACAAAUUAUGUUGCACUUUCCAGUCUAUUACAAAAAAAUAGAUAAUUAGUAGUAUAGACAGAGAAUUUAAUAGUUUCUAGAAAAAAUAAUAUUAUCCAAUACAAAUACCUCAGCAAAACAAAAGAGUCCAGAGAUGGUUUUCCUUGGAAAACGAUCAUAGUAAUCCUUUUUUCUCUGUUCUGCAUUCACUUGUUUUGCCUUCGAGUCUUCGAUAGUCAGUGGAAUAACAUCCGGUGGUAAACUAUUUUUAACAAAUAAAAGAACACGAAAUCAACUUUAGAUAUUAUAAAAAGGAUUAACAGUUAUCUAUAUUAGUAAAAGAAAUGUGAUGUUUAAACAUAUCUUACUUGGCCACAAAAUCAAGAACAGCAGGGUAGGUAGCAUUGAUUUCCAAUAGAGACAUAUCAAAUGAAUUUGAAACAGCUCUUUCACCUACAAACAGCAUGAUAUUAGUAUUUUCACAUAUGUUCUGAUUUCAUUUCGAUUUCAAAAUCAUCCAUUAUUCCCAGUAACAACAUUCUAUACCUUUAAAUGAGUUGAUCUUUGCAAGCCGAAGUAAGCAUAUCACUCUCUCAGUCCCUGCAUUUUGACAUGCAUUAUACAUUGCCUCAGCAAAUCUCCCCCAAAGAGUGCAUUUCAGCCUUUCAUCACUACAAUACAACAAAAAUAUUGAGAAAGUUUUAAGUUUAGAUGUAUGUAAGAUUAAAUAAAAAAGGUAGAUUCAUGAUAAAACUUACUUUGUGUCUCUGAGUUCACACUCAAGUCUCUUUGUGAUCUUGUUAUUAACAUCAUGAAUUUUCAUUUCAUUGAAACUAACUACCUGUCCAAGUACAUCUGCAAAAUAAGAGAGUAAUAUAUUAUAUUUUCAUGAAGAAGUUCCUAUUAUAAUAGAAAAAGAAAAUAUACAAUGGAAAGUAAGAUAGAUAUAGUACCAAUUAAGAUGUUUUCACUCAAUCCUGCUUCAUUCAAAAUAUCUGGAAAGUUUGCCAGAUCCACAUAAAUGUCAUCAGAAACAGAAGGAGUGCGACUUAUCACAGUUUUUUCCAUCAUGGACAUUUUGAAACCAUGUUUUGUGGCUCGAUACUUUCCUGUUGAUUUGGUUAGCGUAAAAUGCUCGAUAAUACGCCAUUCUCCAGAAACUAUGAACCUUUGCAGUUUGCUCACUUGUGGCUUCUUAACAGUAGCAUGAAUCAAAGUACCCUGGCAACAGAUAAAAAGAACUCAUGUUAAUCAUCCAGUGAUAUUGAUGAUUGAUAAAUGUUUAAUAUGUUUCAAAAUGAUAGUUCUUAUACUUACAGCUGUAUCAGCAAGAACCAUUUCAACUGUCUCCCCGGUGAAUUGAGUGUAUUGUGUCCACGAAUGCACAAUCUUAACUUGAAUUUUCCAAUGUGUUUUGAAGGGCUUAAUGUCAGCAAGAGGGGUGAAUGCUUGAAUAGCUGCCAUUUUAUUAGAGAAAUAGUGAAGUGGUAAUGGUAAAGCUUUGAAAGGUGAGUUCUUUCUAAUGCAGGUCCCUAUAUUUAUAGUAAUCAUAUGGAGCAUUUAGUUUUAUUAGGUUUUAGAGAAUAUAGGCCGUAUAAUAUAUUUUGGGAUUAGGAUCUUAAAGAUAUAUGCUUGAUUUAGGGAGAUUUAUUUGUUUGGUAUAUCAAUAUCGAACUGAAUAUGGAUAUUGUAGAGAUUGUGUGAGUUUGAAUACCAACUACUAAGGGAAAUAUAAUAAGUUAGAAUUAUAUAUCUUUCAAUAUAGAGAAAUUUGAAUGAUUGAGUUUUGCAUGUAAAGAAAUUUUUUAAAAUUGGCAUUGAUAGUUUGUGUUGAUAUGGAAAGAUCUUUGCGAGAUUUGGGCGAUAAUUAUCGAAUAGGUUACAAUAUUGUAUCUUUCCUAUUAAUAUAGGGUAAUAGGAAUUAAUAAGUUUUGCAUUUAAUUUGCCGUCUAAAUAUAUAUUUUUACAUUGGAAUGAACUGUUUCCGGUGAUAUGGUAAGAUUUUUGCGAGAUUUGAGUGUAAUUAAUCAAAAAAUUAAUUGCUAACUUAUUCCCGAUUUAGAAUAAGUAAAGAAUAUGCUUGAUUUGUUAUUAUAUGGAAUAGAAAUAAAUACGUUUUAUUUUAGGAAGUGUAAAUUAUGAGAUUUGUUUGUUAAAGCAAUAUACAGAGUAGUUGAUUGAUCCGGAAAAAUAGUUAUGGUAUUGUUUGAUUUGUGUUGCUAAUGUUUUUAUUUCGUAUUAUCUAUACAGAUUCGGAAAUUUGAAGUAAAAGGGAUUAACGAUGGGCCUGUAGGAAAUAUCUAAGCCCAAUAGGAAAUAUAGAAUCUCAUCGGGUCAGAUUCACAGACGCAAAAGAUCCGAGUGUAGGAUCCGGGAUCCGCGUCUCGCGUGCGGGAAUUUUACAAUUUUACCCCUCCACGCAAAUUUUUAUUUUGUCUUUGAAAUUUUAAUUGUAAUGGCAUUCUCUUGUAAUUAUUUACACUUGGUAAGGUUAUUUUUCAUGUAAUCCUUCCCAAUUAAUAGUAUAGAUAAUUAUGACUUGUGUGAAAUGAUUGUACGGUUUGAUAUAAGUUAAUGUUUUAGUUUAAUAGUUGAAUUAGUCAAACUAACUAUUAGAGGCAACGUACUAUGUACACGCAACAGUAAAUAAACAAGAAAAAUACCUUUUUCGUCAAAAUUUUAAAAAAUAGUUUAAAUCAUAUUGUUGACUCUAAAUUAAUUUUACACCAAUAAAUUGCAUGGAUUGAUAAUUUCUUAAUAAAUAAGAUAUGACUUUAAUUUCUUAUAAGCGAGAGGUUGCCAUUCAAACUUACCUUCAUUUGUUAAAUAUAGACUUGGCAAUAAAAAAUUGCAUGAACAGAAAAAUCCUCCAAUAUUAUUGCGAGGAAGAAAAUGACGUCUCUAUGACUCUAUAUAUGUACAUAUAUGGUACGUUAGACUAGGUACACAUGCAGCUUGAUAGAGAAGACGAAGAAGAAUGGGUUCGAAAAUAUUGAGUAUUGGUCUUAUUCUAUCUCUGUUUCUUCUUUGCUUCUCAUCUGAAAUUGGAGUCAUUGAGGCUACUAGCCGAAAAUUAGGUGAGUAAUUGAUUUCUAAAUCUUCUUUUAAUAUUAUCUUAGCUUCAUUUAUGUAUACACUUGUAAAGUUUGUGUUCAAACUUAAUAUAGAGAAAGCAAAAAUUGGCACUCCACCAUCUAAAACAUGCCGAGGUAAAACACGAGGAGGAGGAUCAUCUUCUCGAGGGUGGAGGAAGAGACCGUGUCCACGUCUUGCUUGAACAUCCACAAUAAACCCUUGAAUAAGAAGAAAAAAAAAAGAUCACUCGUUCAUGUUACGUUACCAGUGAAACUGUUGUGCACCUGCAGUGACUUUGAGUUAUCUCACACUGUUGUCCAUUUAUAUAUAUAGACCAAAUAUUCAUACAAUAAAUCUUCAAACUUUGAGUUAAAAUUAAACGAAAGAUACAGAUUUUUGUUUUGUUGUUUAUGUUGAACAAAAAUUAAAUGAAUGAUAAAUUAAAAAAAUAAAAUAAAAUAAAAAAUGUAACAAUGAAUAAAAGCAUUAGACACCAAAAAAUCUCGAGGUUAUCAUAAAUUGUCUAAAGCGGAUAAACUAUAUAGAAAAUUUUUCGAAUAAUCGAUCUAGAACUCUAACCACUAAAUAUGAUUGAGUAACUAUAAUUAAUGAUAUCAACGACGAGAUCUAAAAAUCAAGAAACUUAACCAUUGUACGUUUUAGUUCUAAGAGAUAAUCUACAUAAUUGUUCGAGUUAAUAUGUUGGGAUGACGAUGUAUUUCCCCCCCAUAACUUUCGUAUAGCACCACUUCCACCCAAAGUUUCACUCUCUCUCUCUUUCUCCCCAGAAUCAAAGUUCAAAAAUUAUUUCUCCCCAAAUCUAAAAUUCGAUACAUAUCUUCACAUAAUGGUUGGUUUACUGGGUUGACGACGUAAACCCGAUACGAAACCAAAAAACCCAUAGGCCAAACCGAAUUGAAAACCAGAAUCGAGUUAAUACCCGACCCGUAACCCGUGAUAUCAACAAUUGUUCAUAAAUCCCCAAAUUGAGAAAUCACAGAACCCUAAAAAAGCUUUGAAUUCAAAUCACCACAUCAAAGCUCCGAUAUCAAAUCAUCACAUCGAAGCUCUGAUUUCUUGCAUCACAUUGAAGAUUUCAAAGUAAUUUCAAUGACGCCUUGAUACACUUACGUAUUAACCGUCUUCCUCCUCGUUUGAAGUCAAAUCAUUAGGUGUCACAAGCGAAGACAAUAAAGGAAGAGAAGAAUCUCCCAAAAUGUAACGAGGAACCAAUACUCCAUUCCCAAGUUUGGUCGGAGCUCCAUUGAGAAUUAAACCCGAAUCUGUGAACAAGAGACUUGUAAAAAGCAUCGUGAGCGAGACAGAACAUUGUGACCAAGUUUGAAGAAAUGGAUGAUUGUUGUUAUUCUAUGUUGUAAGAUCUUGAUUGGUUAAAAAAAUGCUUGGUUGAUUCGAUUGUGAUCUAAUGAUGUUACUGAAAAAAAUGCAUUCAACAGAAAGAAAAAAAAAGAGAAAAUGGAAGUUAAAAUUGCAUUCAAUAUGCAUAUUUUGUCUCAGACCAAUAACAUAACAAAAAAUAGUUGAGAAGAAUGAAAAAUAGACCCUUAAAACAGACCAAAAGCUUUUACAAAAAAAUAGACCAAAAGCUUCUUCUACCCUCCCUCCAAGCUCAGUUCAAGCUCAUUUCCUGCGUGACAGUUCCUUGAGAAGGUUCACCUUGAGGAACCUGUAGUAACAACACAAAUAAAAUAAGUUAAACAAAGCAUAUAAAACAUAGUAUAUAGACACAUUAGAUAAUGAAACACAAACCUCUUUCUUCUUCUUAUGAAACCUAGAGUUGUGAUUAGCCGCACCACAUACCCCACAAUGCAUAACUCGUUUCAGAAGCUUUGGUUGCUUCUUUAAAGGAGACUCAUUUUUUCCUUUCUUUCUUUUCACCUUCUUACUCUUUUUUUUCCUGCCAGGCUGUGGAGGCUCAGGAGGUGGAUGCACUGGAGGAGCUGUUCUAACAGGCCAAAACCUUGCACCUCUUAAUGGAACUAGACCCUCUGUGUAGUUCCUCUUCCACUGGGCUGUACGAAACCAGUGGCAGACGUAAUCCUCGGCUUUAAGUUUCAACUUAAGGAUAACACCAUAUGCAUGUACACAUGGGAUUCCUGUGAUCUCCCAUUUCCUACAGCUACAAGUCCUCUGAUUCAAACUCACACGGUAAGAACAACCAGACAACAUAGCUAAAAACAUUUUAUUUGUACUUCUGUGAACCUUAACUUCUGCAGCAUCUUCAAGCUCUUUUGCAAGAUAUGCUUCCACAUAUGGUGUACAUAAACCCUUGUGAUCAUGAGAUUUAACACUUCUUUUGGCAAUACGUACCAUUGCAAGUCGAGCAAUCAUUUCUAACAUAGGCACCAGUGGCUUCUCUCUUGCUUUGACUAUCGUAUUGUUAAAUGAUUCUGUGGAGUUGUUCUCAACAUCUUCAACAUAGUGGCCAAUUUUGUAGAAAGCUCUACACCAACUCAUUGGGUUCUACUUCAUCACAUCCUCAUAAACACCCAUAUCAUAUUGCUUCAAUUUCUCUAGGUUUUCUCUAUACUCAGCCUCAUUGUAACUCCAUGCUAGAUUCCAGAUAAAAGGCUUCAUCUGUGAUUUCUUACCAUGAUUUGCCUUUAAAUUUCCAUAUAUGUGUCUCACACACAUCCUAUGUUCAAUAUGGGGUAACUCUAUCUCCACAGCUCUAAUCAAUCCCUGUCACUGUCGGGAAUGACAUCGUGACGAAUACACGGCUCAUCAAUGAAUUCGAUUACUGCUUGCUCGAUGUUGAAAUCAUUUCGUGCGGUUUGGUCUUCUAGAUUUUCAUCAUCGGGUUCCUCAUCAAUAGGAACAUCGUUCAUCUCGCUCUCUAGAACUGACAUCGAUGAAGAUCAAUGAACUUGCAGGUUUUGGUUUCGUGAGGAAGGGUUUUUGAUAUGGGGACAUUUAUAAGUUGAGGGAUUUUAUGAUUUGGGUAUUUAAUCGGGUUUGGGUUUCGAGUUAAAUUUGUUUAGGUUUGGUUUAAGUUUGUUUAUGCUGGUUAAAACAAGAUUAGUCUACAGUAAACCAACAUUAACCCAACUUUAUGUGAAAAUUAGUUUUGAACUUUCAUUUUAUGUUGAAAUAGGUUUUUAACUUUAUAUCUAGGGAGAAAUAAUUGUAGAACUAUGAUUCUGGGGAAAAAUAGAGAGAGUGUAAAACUUUGGGUGGAAGUGAUGUUAUACGAAAGUUUUGGGGGGGAAUUACCUUGUCGUUCCUAAUAUGUUUACAAACUGUCUUAGAAAUAUAUAAAGCCCUUUUAGAGAAGUUUUGCUCAUCUAUGUUAUUUUCGAAAAUUUAUCUAACACAUUUAGUGCGUUAAUUCACGUAAAACCAUAACCUAGCUACCAACCCCGGUUCUAAAUAUAUUUGGACAUUUGGGCAAAAAAAAUUUUUUUGGAUUUUUUUGAAUUUUUGGUUAAAAUCGGGACUAUUUUGUAAAUAACUUUUGUCUUAUUUUAAAUUUUCAAAAAAAUAUACAGGCCUUUUUAUGUAAAAGAAUAUAAUUUUGAAAAUUUUGGGCCUAUUUAUUAGAAAAUUUCAUGUCUAUUUGCAAUUGUUUUUCAAAUAUGGGCCUUUUUCAUAAAUGUUUUUAACAAAAAUCUAUGGUCCCCUCGGCCACUGCCCCUCUGUCCACUCUUUUUGGUCCGGGCCUACUAGCUACUUACUUUAAUUUUUGCAUUGUGAUUUACUAGUGACAAAAAAUUCUUAAGAGUAAUGUUGUAAAUCCUAUCUUUAAUAUAUUCGAUUUUCUCUGAUUGUUUGCUCAGAUCUCACAAAUCGAUUUAGAACCUCAGCUCAAGAACACGAUUAAACAAGAAACAAUAAAGAACCUGAAACUCAAUUUGUUAACCCGAUUCAGCGAGAUCGUUGUGAUCACGCCUACAUCCGGAGCCGAAUCAAUCCGGCAAAUUCACUAGAAUAAGAAGGAAUCAGCUCAAAUCCGACCUUACAAUAGUCAAACAAUGGUGGUUCUCUUUGCUCUCUCUCACUCGAUACAAGAACAAAGAAAUAUGAAAGUGAUUAUGAAGUUAAUGAAGAAGAAACUUAUAUCAUGUAUGAUGUAUCUCUGUAUAAAACAUAAGACCCUCCAGGGGCGGAUUUAGAACUAUAUUUAGUAUAGGGCAUUGUUAUAACUAAUAAUUAAAUUAUAGAGCAUUUAAAUAAAUUUUACACUAGUUAUUCAAGAAAAUUAAAAAUUUAGAGUGGGGCAUAUGCCACACCUAGUCUCUUCUUGCAUCCGCCUUCACUGCAGUUUAAGAUUUCUCUUGACUUUAUCACAUUUGUCGGUUUAAUCAGCAAUCUCCAAAACCGGAAAUAACCACAUGGUUCAACUCUUAUUGAUCCAAUCAGACCGACGAGACCAACCUGAAAUUGAAUCAGACAUAUAAACCAUGACACUCCACCUUGAUUCAAUUUCCUUCCUUCUAUAGCAAAUUUGCACUGACCAUGGAUUUAACCUCCGGCAAAGACGACUUCUCGUUAUAUUUAGAAUUUGAAUCAGUCAUAUGCCACUGCCAGCUUGCCACUCAAUACAAAAUUAUAGUAAAAACUGGUCGUUACUAUAAAUAAUUAUUAUCUUGGAUUUUCUUCGCGAUAUUCGAUUUUUAUGUUUAUUUGAGUUUAUUAGGCUUUAUUGUAUAUAUUGUUAGAACUUAUUUUGAUUAGUUGCGCUGGACUAUUUUUUCAGGUAAUUUUCAAAAUUGAAGUUCGUUUGAAUGAGAAAUGGAGAUCCAAAAUAAUUAGCUUGAAAAGCUUAAGAUUUUGACUAAAGGUCAAAGUGAUUAUUUUGGAUGUUAGAGGAGAAACCCAAAUACACAUGGGCUGGAUUUGGGUUUGAGACAUGGGGUUUUGACUUGUGUUAGUCAAACACAAUUGUCUUCUCCUUUAAUUUGAUUUUGUAACAUUUGUGUUAAUGACAAAAUCAAUUAGAAAUGUGUAACCUAUGAGCAUUGAUCAUGAGAUUAAUGGUGGAAGAUUUCCUCUCUCCAAGCAAGACAUUAAAUGUCUUGACCUAGUCUCCAAAUCUUUUGUAGACUAUAAAAGAGAGAGUCUUGGGUCUCAUUCAUAUGAUGGAUCAAAAAGAUCACAAUCUCUUUCCUCAUCUUUUCUCUAGUUAUCGAGUCUGAGAGUAUACACAUCACUAGAGUUCGUUAGCCUUCUGAUUUUGAGUGUUGCAAAUCAGAAGAUGGUGCGGUUGUAUCCUGAGAUUCUGAUUGCAUCAAACCGUCACAUUAUGGACAAUUAAAGAAUUAAGGAAAGACUGUCUCGCCUCCAUACAAACUGUUCUUUUUUAUCAAAUAUUGAUAUCGUUGCUGUAUUUUUAUUAUGGUUUUUAUCAUCAUCUAUUACAAUCAUUCAGUUUUGCCACAUCGUAGAAAUCGUUGUCUUACUUAUGUUGGUUGGAUUUAUACGGAAUUUGAAUUGAUCACGAACUAGAGUAAAAUUCAACACGCCUUCUUUUUCAUAUCGAUUUUGUUUUGCGGAAUAACGAAGGGAGAAAAAAAAAAGUAAUCUGGAAAUUAGAAAAAAUACAUUGAAUACCAAUAUAACUACUUUUUCUUGUGAUCUACGUCUUUGAGGAGACAACAUUCCCAUAAUAUAUUUAUCAAAGUACAAGAGCUUACAAAAAACAACACUGAUGAAUUUCAAUAUAUAUAACCGCGAAGGAGAUGAAGCUUUAAUUUGUUUAAUAUUAGAAGAAAAAAGUGCCAUUAUUCUAAAACGGUUCCUAAAUCCUAACAACCCGUUUGCAAGUGACUCCCUCGUAAGCUACUUAAUGCCCCAAUUCUGUUAAUGCUCUAUAAAGUCUCUGAGUUCCAUUUGGGUAAAACUUGACCUCUCCUCCAGCAAGAGUAUUCUCCACACAAGGGCUAUUUAAUCCAAUGAUACAAUUUGAAUUACGUAAUGAAAAUAAAAAUAUGAAAAUUAAUUAACAAAAUAUAAAUAAUGAAUUGAAAAGUUACAUAUUAUAUAAAAAUGAUUAAAAUCAUACAAAAAUGAUAUCUGGACAUUAGAAAAGUAACAUACAUAAUAACCAAAUAGCUAAAUCUACUAGUCUGGCAUCUGCAAUAUGAAGAAAAAUUCGUAAAUAGCCUCAAUUUUUUUUUUUUUUUUUUUGACGAAAAAUUACCUCAAAAUCUUUAUAUUGAACAUCAUUAUCCUCCUUCAUUUCCGUCAUCACCUCAUUGCUUUACGAGAUGUUUCGUCCCUUGAUGCUUUUCUUGUCAGAUGAAUUUUCCCCAAAACGUUCCAAUCAUGGAACUCGGAGUGAUCGAGGAUGAAGUGGCACCGCCUUCGGAAUGAAUUCUAAGUCGUACCGACGGCCUUAUUCACUAAAACACUCUUUACAAAAAGUUAUAAUAGGGAGAAUUAAUAGUUAGAAACUAGUUAACUCACCAAGAUAGAAAAAAUUUACUUACUGAUUGGUAGACCUUGUCCAAAUUGGUUUUUGAUAUCUUUCGGGAUUGGAUUAACUUGACUGCAUGAAUCCUCAGAGAGCGAAAGCUUAGAUAAUUUCUUGUUAACCUUCUUCUUGACAACCUUGAUGAUGGUGUACUAAUUAAACCUUCUCGUUGACAAUUGUUCUGUUGGACUUCCUCUUAGAAGUCACCUUUAGAAGGGUGAUAUGAGGUAAUCUUUAGAAGCGUGGUAUGAGGAAGAAGUUCUCUUCUUCUUCUUCAAUCUCGAGCCAAUCCGCAUUUUCUCCCGCGAGCCCGAGUUGCUCGUGUGCGGCCAAAGCAUCCGCCGGGUCCAGACUUGUGAGCCCUAGCCGCUCGUCUCUGAUCAGUCGUCGUUCACUUUCUCCGCUUCUUCCUUGCUUCGCUGCCAGUGUGUGUGUGAGGAGAUAUAGAUAUCCAAGCUUCUAGUGUCUGAGAGAUGGAUCCAUAAUCUAGAUCUAAACCCUAAAGUUCCUAAAUCUUACAUCUCUGAAACCUUAGUUGUCAAAACUACUAGAUUUAAAAAAUGUGGUACAUUUGGCAAAAAUCCAUUUUUAUAAAACCAUUUGAUAUUAAUUUUAUAAUAAUAAGUUACAUGAUUUUGUGAUAAAAGAAAGUAUAUGUUGCAUACAAACGAUUUAAACAUUAAGCUAAUACAUUUCCAUUUUUUAUGAUUCAAGCUAACCAUAAGUUAAAAUUUUGUCUGAUUAAUAUUGUAUCAAUUAUAGUUUGCUUUUGUAUGUCAAACAAUAUUUUAGAAUUAAGCAACCUGGUUUGGUUUGAUCUUUGCAAUUUUCCAAUAUUAAAAACUUGGCACAAAAGCAUUUGAUAUUAAUUUUAUGGUAAUAUGUUGCAUACAAAUGAUAUGAUUAUGUGCUAAAAGAUAUGUAGAAUACAAAUUAUUUCAAAUAAGAUAAAUACAUUUCCAAAUUUUUUUAUGGAAAUUGUUUUAGUGUAUAAAAAGAAAAUAUGAUUAUUGGUCCAAAAAGAUAUGUGAUAAAAUAUUGUAUAAAUAUUUUACUUUUAUAUGUCAAAUAAAGUUCUCAUUUAUGAUCAUAUUAAAGUUCGUCAAAUCUUGAACUGAAAUAUCAUUAGAUUUUUUACAUUUUAAAUUUCAAUGAUGGCAAAAAGAAGUCCUCCAAUCUCACAUUUGCUUUUUGCGGAUGAUAGUCUCUUUUUCUGUAAAGCAGAUACAGAGCAGUGUAAAACGGUGAUGGAUAUUAUUGGAAAUUAUGGCAAAGCUUCAGGGCAAGAGAUAAAUUUCAAUAAAUCUUCGGUCAUAUUUGGUAAGCGUGUAGCACACCAAAAGAAAGAUGAACUAAAACAUUUCCUUGGUAUUACUAAGGAAGGUGGAAUGGAUACUUAUUUGGGUAUACCAGAGAGCCUAGGGGGCUCAAAAAAUAAAAUCUUUAAUUACGUUCGGGAAAGACUUAAUGAACGGAUUAAUGGUUGGUCAGCUAAAUAUCUGUCAAAAGGUGGGAAAGAGACUAUGAUCAAGUCUGUUGCUUUGGCUCUCCCAACAUAUGUUAUGUCUUGUUUUAAACUUCCUCAAGAGUUAACAUCUAAGUUAACAAGUGCUAUUUCUAAUUAUUGGUGGAGUUCUAAUGGGAAAGACCGUGGAAUUCAUUGGAUAGCAUGGGAAAAAAUGUGUAUGGAUAAAGAAGAAGGAGGUUUGAGUUUUCAUUCUCUAGAUACAUUUAAUGAUGCCAUGUUGGCUAAACAGUAUUAGAGGUUAAUCCAGUAUCCAAACUCAUUAGUAGCUCGAGUGUUAAAAGGUAGAUAUUUUAGGAAUGUUCAUCCUUUAAAUGCUAAAAAGCCAAACUCUCCAUCGUUUGGAUGGAAGAGUUUUUUUUCUACUAAAAGACUCGUUGAAAUGGGUGCAAGAUGGUCUCUUGGUUCGGGUUUUAACAUAUCGGUAUGGAGAGAUCCUUGGAUUCCCGAUGUUAAUCCACGCCCCGCAAAUGGCAGAGGGAAUUUGUUGCUUCCAAGCCUAAUGGUUAACCAUUUAAUUAAUCCGGUUACUAAAGAAUGGCACCUCCCAAUUUUAUAAGAAUUCUUGGAUCCGGUGGAUAUUCAAAUUAUUAGUGGACUAGCUAUUAGUCAAGUUUAUAAACCAGAUAGGCUUAUUUGGCAUUAUACAAAAUCAGGAAAAUAUACAGUAAAAUCAGGAUAUCGGCUUGCUCGAAGUUUGACAGAAACGACCGAAUGGGGUCCAAAUUAUAGAAAAUUACAAGCACAAGUUUGGAAAGUCAAAGCUCCACCAAAAAUAAAACAUUUCUUAUGGCAAAUUGCUUCGGGAUCCUUGGCAGUUACCUCAAAAUUAGCACAACGAGGGAUUCAUUGUGAUAUUAUCUGUAAAAGGUGUGAGACGGCAGAGGAAACAAUAAAUCAUGUUUUAUUUGAAUGUUCUCAUUCUAAAAAAAUAUGGGAAUUAUCCACAAUACCUAUGGUUUCAGGUUCUUUUCCUCUAAGCUCGGAAUUUUCAAAUCUAGAUUAUCUUUACUGGAGGUUACCACCUCCUCUAGAUGGGGGAGAAAGAACUAAUUGUUUUGCUUGGAUUUUGUGGUUCAUAUGGAAAGACAGGAAUAAAAAAGUUUUCAAAGGAAUUCAAUCUGAUCCCACAGAUAUUUUAAAUCACGCUUUGAACGAAAAAUUAAUGUGGGAAGAUGCUCAAUUGGAACCGAUCGAAACUAGUAUUGAUACGGAAAUUUUGGAAAGCCCUAUCCAAUCUAUAAGAUGUCGGAUUGAUGGCUCUUGGAAAUCUUCGGAUCCAACUAUGGGUAUAGGAUGGUGGUGUUUUCAAGGAAAUGAUCAAACGAUACUACUUGGUGCAAAGUGCCUCCGGAGAUCCCCCUCCCCCCUUCACUCGGAGAUGGAAGCGUUAAUUUGGGCCAUGAAGAAUGUCUUUUCAAGAAGGAUUGAUUGUCAGGCGUUUGAAACAGAUUGUUCAGAGUUAGUCUCGAUGGUACAAUCACCUGAAAAAUGGCCCGCUUUCUCUAAUCUGCUAGAUGCUUUUGGACUGCUCCGUGACUCUUUCCCCUUAUUCUCGCUUUCUCUUAUACCUCGUUUAUGUAAUGUUAAGGCGGACUGCUUAGCCCGUUCUUCUAGACUUUUAUUUUCCGAAGUUACUUUUGUAAACACUACUCCUCCUAAUUGGGCAACCAAUCAAGGUGUUAUUUAAUAAUUAAUGUGUGGUUGACAAAAAAAAAAAAAAAAUUCAAUUAAUAAUAUAUUAUUAUAGUUAAAAAAAUAAAAAUAUCCAGCAGAGAUACACUACUCAUUAAAGUAUUAUAAAAGAAUGAAAGUCUAUAUAUAUGCUUAUGACGCAAUUUCUUACAAUAUCUGUAAUUGGAGACUCAAACAUCUCUGACGGUUGAUUAAUUUUUUUUCUCUCUCUCGCUUCUACCUGUUCGCCCUAGCCGUCAAAGCCAUUUUCUUCCUCUCUUGGCCGGCGAUUGGUGGCUUCCAUAGCACGGUCGCCCGUCCCGUUCACCGUAGUUUCAGCUUCUUCUCAUUAGUUCAUCUUUGUUGUUAAUUUUGCUUCUCAAACCCUAGUUUCGCCGUCUCCUCCCAUUGUCCUUUCCUCCCUUCUUUGGUGGUUCCGACGUGGUGACUAUCAUGGAGGAUGGGUGGCGUAUUGGUGAUCUUCGUAGACGGAUCUGUUCCCCGGUGGAACUGUCUCGUUUUCUCCGAUCUGGUUAUAGAGGUCUGUGUUUUCCGAUCUGUUUCUAGUGUCUCAACAUUCAGCUCUGUUCUCGUUGGUUGGGGAAUCGGGAGUUGAUUUGUUGCAUGUUCCGGCUGGUUCCGAGGUGGAUCUGAAGAGUUCAAGUCCUGGAUUUUGUUGGCUUUGCGGUGGUGCUGUCUCUUGUGAGGCGUGUAUUUAGCCGGCGUUUCGUUUCCAUGACUUGUUUCUGAACAUCCUUUUGGUGUUGCAGCAACGGCCUCUUUGUGUGCGGAUUCUUCCUCUGUUAGUGAGUUUGGAUGACUUCUAGGGUUUGUGUUAUGCUGUGUUUUUCGAUUUGUUGUGAUUUGAAGCCUUAGGUUCAGCUUUUGGGUUGGCUUGUUUGACUCCUUGCUCUGCCUCUCUCUCUGUCCUCCUCUUGGUUUUCGGUGUGGUGAUUUGGCGAUAGGUUCUGUUUUGUGGGUUCUCCAUUCAGAUGCUAGCUUUCUACAAUGGCAUCUACUAGCUCUCUGUUGGAACCUCGUUUGGUUUCUCGGCUGAGUUCUGGACGUUGUGGUGGGUCGAUCCCUUGUCCUUCUCUUUGCGUGGCGUAACCAGUUUUUAGUCUGUAGGUGGCUUUGGCUGGGUCUACGAAGGUCCGUGUGUAAGGAUGGUUGGUCCUAUUUGGCGUUUCCCCUCUCGGAUCUCAAGGUUUUCCUUGAUCCUCCGCUUUCUCAUUCUCAUUGGCUCUAAAGUGGUGGUGGUGGUUAGGUUCUGUGUUCUGAUCUUCUUGCUUCGUCGUCUUCGUUUCUGCUGUGGAGAUGGUUGUGUGAGCUCGUUUAGUUUCCUUCUCGAGGCUCCUGUCUGUUGUCUCUCCAUGGCGUAAAACUGUUCUAUGGAAGUGUUAGUCGACUGCUUGUAGGGAAGAGUUGUCAGUGUUGUGGCUUUGGAGGCUUUAGCUAUUAUUCCUUUAGUUGUAAUCUUUGUAUCGUUAGGCUUGAUAUGUUUGUCUGCCUCUUAUGGCCUUAUGUCUCUGGGGGUUUCUAUGUACCUGCCGGCUUUGUCUCCGAAAGGUUUCCGUUCCUUAUCGGCUUUGUAUACCUUAAAAUCGCAUUCUAUCAAUGAAAUCCUUUAGACGAAAAAAAAAAAAAAAAGACUCAAACAUCUCUAAUCUUCUUUGUGCUCCCUUCAACAUUAGAGAAUUAUGACUCACCAUAAAUCUUGUUGCAUUAGGUUGAGGCUUGUCCUCAAAGAGCCUGCGUUGGUG